UCGCCGUCCUUGAGCAGCUGGAGCCCGCCGACGCGGUCGUCCUGGAAGAGCAGGAUGAUGCCGCCCGCGUCGGUGUGGGCGCGGAGGCCCUUGACGAGGUCGGGCCGCGGGCACGGCGGGUAGCUGCUGACCUUGGUGCCGAAGGUGGGGGCGCCCUUGGAGCCACGGAAGGCCCGCGUGAGGUACCCUUUCUCGAGGCCGAGGUUCUCACAGAGCAGGUCGAGCAGCCGCUCCGCCAGCUUCUCCAGCUCUGACGCGAACUGCUUCAUCACCCGCCUGUACUCCUCGUCGAGGUCGGGUAUCUCGGCGAUGUUGGCCUCCGGGAGGUGGCGCACGAAGAAGGUGCUCUCCCAGUCCAGGUUCUCCGCCGCCUUGCCGCCGUCCUCCAGCGUCUUGCUGGCGAACUCGAGGAACCUCUGCUCGCGCACCCUCUUGUAGUGCUCCUUGGUCAUCUUCUCCACCUUGUCCAUCAGCUCCGUCGAGAUGCCGUGGUCCAGGACCUGCACGCACCACCGAAAAAGAGAGAGAGAGAGAGAGAGAGAGCAGAUGAGCAUUAAGGAUAGAUCGAUAAGGAGAUUUAUCCUGUCAGAUUAUGCCAUGUUAGUGCUGUGUAUUCACCUGGAAGAAGCCCCAGUUCUCGCAUGCAUCGUGCAGAAGGUUCAUCGCCGCGGGCCGCUCCUCCCCGCGGAGCAGACCCAUGUCGAUGAUCGGGAAUGACAAUGUCGAUGCCAUCUUACCCUCUUGAUUCGAGACAAGCUGCGUCUCCGGAUGUUUCUUCUUGCCUACCGAGCUUCAGAGCUUGCCUGAUGCUGUAUGAAGGAGUCAGGAGUGCGGUGCCUGGAAGAAGGCAGCCUUGGGUGCAAUUUAUAGCCUCGAUCGACCAGGCACCCAAAAUGCUUCGACCAGAGAAUUGCAAAAAUAAAAUAAAAUGCUUCGACUAGAAUGGGUCGACCUUGGUUGUACACCCCUCUAGUAUUACUUUUUAUGCUAAAUCAACGAGAAAUAAUAUGGAGCGGACGAAACUAAUAUGAAACGGAGAUUGUACUCUAGAAUUAUUAGCGGUCAUUAUGCUAAAUCUUUCAAUUAGAAUCACGCAAUAAAUUAUGAUGGUCAUAUUGAAUUUCAAAGAUAUUCUUGUGGGCUUUAAAGUGUUGGAUCUCCACUCUUAAAAAGCAGUUGAUAGGCCGGCAUCCACAGUUUAAUUUCGCCUUACCUCCCGCCAUCACCUCUUCACGCUAGGUUUUUCACCCUCACACUCAAAACCCAAUCAAUUCGUCCGACCCUCCUUUCAUUUUUUUUCAUGCUUGCUUUGACAGGUGCUGAUUCAAUUCAAUCAUGUAAAUAAUAUGUAAUUAAAAAUUCAAAGAUAACGUCAUAUAUAUGAGAUCACCGUCCUAAAAGAUACAUAAGAGAUCUUUCUCAAAUAACCUUCCAAAACAAACUGAGAUAUUCUUCAAUAACAAAUUGAUAAUCCCGCACACUACGACAUCUGCUAUUGAAUGACAAUCACAACUUUCCGAAUACAAUAAAAAUAACAUAUAUUUUUACUUACCAAAUCGCAUAUUUCAGCUACUAUUAAAACUCAAUCUGCAUGUCCUCCCAUAGUUUGAACACAUCCUCCACUCCCAUCGAUCCGAUUUUUAUGCAAAUAUGAAACCCACCUCCCAUCUGUUUUUUUUCAUAAAGAACUAACUUCCACCCCGUGGUGAUUUCUAUUUUUCACCUACCAAAGCCUAUCGAUCAGCACGAGGCCCACCACAAAUAUGGGUACCGAUCCCUCCUCUCCAGGCUCUUUUCAUACAUAGUUAACUUUCACAUGAUCAGAAGUUUUCUACCCUUGCGCGCGACACAUUAAAAGUGCCUGACAUGACUGCUCUCCCGUCUCACCACCACAUGCCCCGGUGUGGCUAACCCCUAACCGCCCUCGGGAAGGAUGCAUCCGUAGGUGCCGCACAACAUUGUCGUUCCUUCAUCGAGCGGCCGUGCCGCCGCAUCCACCCUUGUGCCCAACCCUUCCUUCUUGCUCAAUUUCACCUAUAACAUCAUGGUGACUGCCAUUCAAUACUACUGUAUUCCCUCGUUGGUUAUGGUUGUUACCUCUACUUUGUUCUAACACGUCGAGGCUUGGCCUCCUCCUCCUACUCCCUCCCUCCCUCCCUCCUCUCUCUCUCUCUCUCUCUCUCUCUCUCUACCAUGGCAUGCUAAUGAACACAAAUGCGACGGAUUAAAUACUCAUGAAUAUUCCGACGGUGUAAUUUGAUGCAGAGAAAGCACGAUCAAUUCCAUAAAACUGUUAAGUUUGAGAUUAUAAUUUGGUUGACGCCGCCUGUUUGUUAUUUUUCAUACAAAAAAUUAAGCUUCAUCAUUGCGCGUGGAUGACACCAGAUUUAUUUUAGGUGCAUAUGGUUAAGACUUAGCUGCAUAAAGUCUUUUUUUUUUAAAAUAGAUAAAGUCUCUUGAAUAAAGUCCAUUCCUUUUCUUGCAUUAUAUAUUUUGCUAACUUUUGAUCUAUUAUUUAAAAGCUCAAAGGUAAACUCGAUCGAACUUACAAAAUUGAAUGCGACUGCAGUAUUUUUUUAUUUUCUUUUCAAAUUUGUAAAACCUCAAAAAUCCGACCAUGGUGUUGUCGUUGUCAACCUGGCCCUCUGCAUUCCCUUCGCCUGGAGGUGCACACUGCCAAUGUCGACGCACCCGCUCACUCCACAUAAUCGUGCAUCCGCGGGAUGGAGCCAAUGGAUCCUUAAAUCACAUAGCGGUCAACAGAGAGAGGAAAAGACGGGAGAAAAACUUUCAUUGCCGCAAGGCACAUGGAAGCAUUCCACUCACUCCUUUUGCCCGUGGCAACACACAUGUAUAUAUUGUGCUAGUUAAGAUCGACACAAUGACGUGGUUACGCAAAAUUCGUUACUCAUGAAAGUGCUGCAUGAAAAUUAAAGUACAGUAGACAUUUUAGCAACGAAAAAAGAAUGUCCUUUCAAAUUACUAGUAAAUCCAACAAUCUAGACAAAAAUAUGACUGGAUUUUCUUCAUCCAACAGCAAAGCCUAGAUCGAGAAAAUGUGACCGAAAUUUUCUCUUGUCUCAAAUCGAUUUUUUUUUAGUGGACAGAUCGGCCGGGCACCCAAAAUGCUGCGAGCGGAAUGUUACCGGAAGGGGCACGUGUCCACCCCGUCCGGCGCCGGCGAUGGAGACGCGGCGCUCCGAUGCUUGGAUCGGGGAUGGGUACGCCACACUGGAGCAUGUUCUUCCAGCUGGCUAAUCACUCAUCCGAUGGCGAUCGGGACCGCGGCAUGGCACCGUCCAUCUGCACCGCACAGGAACCUCAUUCCCAUUGCUUGGUUGGAUGAGAUGAGAUGAGAUGGGAUGGGAUGGGACGCAGCGCGAACAAAUGCAUCUUCGGCGUGCCGGAGAAAAAUGAGCGACCGGAAAUGUGCCUCCAGGAAUUCUGUUGGUUGGAUUCGAUGUGUUGGGCGACUGACUCGACUGCCUGCCAACGUGAAAGCAUAUAAAUCUGGAGUAUGUAUAAAAAGAAGAAGUUGUUGAGAUCGAGUAGCCUACGAUGUAGUGUACGUAUAAGUGAGAAUUUUUCAAUGUAGUGUAUGAGCAGCCUGUUGCAAACUAGUAGUUGGACAAGCUGCCAAUAACAGACAACGGAAUCCUAAAUCUCAAAUCCCAAAUCAAGAGAGGGCAUGAUCGAUAUCUUAGUUAGUUGUCAGCAUAUUGUUGCUCUCUGGUUCCAAAAAAAAAGCAUAUUAUUGCUCUCCAUAUAUGCAUGCACCCGCCAAAAACCAUCCAUUCCCACACACUGAUGAGCCGGCCAAACUCACGAGAGAUACUCUAGCAGCUAGCAUGGCGAUGUUUUCUUGAACAAUGCUAUCAUAGUGAUGUAAUUCAGAAAAGUUGGAAUGCAGUAGUGGAUUACUAUUACUCACAUGACAUUUACCAGCACAUUUCUUGUCACCAGGUUCAGUGGUGGACAAAUUAGCACAAGACUCCAAAUUGGUGGUCUAUCUUAACUUCUCUUGUACUAGCAUUUUAUUAGGUUUCCCUCGACGUCCAAGUUCCACCUUUUGCAUAGGCGGAAAAGCUAUUGCCGGCAAAAGGCAAGAGGAACGAACAAAGCAGAGAGAAGCAUUAAGCUUGUGCGGUAAGGCAUGACGGAAUGAUGCAUUAGGGUGACGGCGAAACCUUGUGGAUAUGUCGGCAACUUGCUUCGAUUUCUUUCUUCGUGCUGGAUGCUGAUUAGGUGUGAGUUUGAACAUUUUGCUCGCCGUCACAGUCCAGGGGCAAAUCAGUGGCUCGUGAUCAAUGUAAAAAAGGUGAAUGCUGAGAGUUGAGUAGCCGCAUUUAGCUACUAGCAUAAUGCUCCAUAUGGGCAUUGUCCCUGUUUUACCAUAUAUUCUCUACUUUCAGUGGGCUUUCUGUUGUACUCAAAAGCUUACGGUUUUCUGGUAAUGGUAGUUGCCACGUAGUCAUUUAUAAUUUAAUGGACUGUGGUAGCUAUUUAUGGACAUACAAGCAGACAGUAGUUAACCUUGCCGAGACUCAAUACAGUUUUAAACCUAUGAAACCAACAAAAACCACUAGUACUACCAGGAAAGCUCUGGACAACGACCUUUGGGUCCGCCAAAUUGACACUCGGCAGGGGCUAACUUUGGACCGUAUUCAACAAUUUGCAACACUUUGGGGAUGUUUGCGGAUGUAAACCCCAACUAGGGUAGCCAAGACACAAUAUCUUGGAAGUUCACCAACAGUGGCGAGUACUCUGCCUCCUCGGCUUACAUGGUGCAGUUUGUCGGUCUCUCAUUUUGCCCAAUGAAUGCUACAAUCUGGAAGAUGUGGGCUCCUUCGAAGUGCAAUUUUUUUGCUUGGUUGAUCUUUCAAAAUCGUGUUUGGACAGCUGAUCGUUUGCUGCGCCGAGGUUGGCCAAACUGUAAUUUGUGCCCUCUCUGCAAGUAAGUGCAAGAAUCUGUUGCUCAUCUCCUAUUCCAAUUUAAGUUCACUGUCCGGAUUUGGACUGAAAUUUGCAUUUGGCUUGGCAUUCUUGACUCCUCACCAAUGAUUUGGCGUCAUGAAGACUCAGUUAAAGAUUGGUGGCUUAAGGCGGUUAGUGUGGGAGGUGACCACAGGAAGGCCACCGCCUCCUUGAUGAUGCUUGUCUCAUGGGAAAUUUGAAAGGAGCGCAACACAAGAAUUUUUCAGAAUGUCUCCGCCCCGAUCUCCAUUGUUAUCGUGAAAAUCAAAGAGGAGGCUCAUCUUUGGACUUUGGCAGGAGCGAAGCAGCUUAGUAUUGUUAUGUCGCGAGAGUAGAUCUUUCAUUUUUGCCGCCCCGCGGCUUAUGUCUAAACCUUCUUCUUAAUCAAUAAAAAUGGCAAGUCUUUUGCCUUGUUUAAAAAAAAUAUCAUGGGUAGACAGUCGAACAACUUAAUUUUCAUGGAAACAUUUUGUCUUCAAGAUGCUUAAGACUUCCUUAUCUGCAAAGAAUCAUGAUUCUGCUACUUUCUGGAGAAGCUGGACGCACCUUCCAACUAGGCGAUUGCACAGCUAAUUCUGGUUCUGGAACCAUCAGACUGAGGAUUUUGGCGGUGUCCACACCUGCAACCCACAUGCAUAUGGGACUGGCACUAGCCCUUGUGGUGCGACAUCAGUGCUGGAUUGGGUCUGAUCGAAGCAAACUUGGGAGCAGCUUGCCACUUGGUAAACGCAGAGAAAGCUUUGGUGUAGCUUUCUGGCCUGUACUCCUGAAAGCCACACUGAGCUGAGCUCUUAUCGACAAUCGGCAUGGCCGUGUAGACGUGUACACUGAAAGGAAGUUCCUUGAACCAGGACUGUAGUAGGUACGAACUCUGAACUUAGCUCCACCGACGCUGAAACUGACGCUCACGCUGAAACUGAUAGUGUGAAACUGUUUCUGGAAGACACGACAACUGUUGAAUGAAAGUAACCGGGCACGUUAGCGACGGCGAGGACCAUGAACAGUGCACGAACCGCGGGAAGACAUCUCCCGGAUUUUGGGAAUCCAAGGCGUCCGAUGAGCUGCCACCAAGCUGCGCUGAUGGCGAGUGUAACAUGCCAGGUCCAUAGCACCAGUUGAGCCGAUCAUGACUGGUGAUCAGGUCGAACUUGUCCCGGUCUGAGUGUCCUGGAGCACCUACUGAUUGACAGUCGGUUCACCGAUGAUAAGCGAGUAGUGCAGUCUACAAUGCGAUUCAAACGGACGUGGCUCACACCUAGCCACGUUUAAGGGCAGUCAGGGCAUCUCCAACGCGGACUUUAAAACCGCUCACAACCGUUCAGAUCAAACGUGUUUUGCCAUUCAAUGUGUGCACCUACUGACUAGUGCUACGUCCCGAGUCCUGUCAUAAUCGUCCGAACCCAUCGUGUCGCUCCCGCACCGGGCGACUCGGGCGGGCCGCUACCCUAGCCCCCGCCGAGCCCCUAUCUACUCCCUCCUCUCCUCCCGUCAUCGCCGUGUGACACCACCAGGCUAAGCCCGGGGGCAGAUAUCAGUGGCGGGGGUCUCUCCUUCUCUCCCACAUCCAGGCCCCCGACGUGUUGAGGCGCGGCUGGUCAGGUCCUGCGGCGCAGCGGACGGCCCUGCUUCGCCGCGGCGGCGAGCAGCUUUGCGGCCUGUCGAAUCUCGGAUCGGCGGAGGCGGCACGGAGGUCCUGGUGGAUCGAUCGGCUGUACGUGUGGUCUGGCUUCCGCUCAUAUCUGAUAUGGCUGGUGCGGCCUGUUUCAUGCGCGGCGGCAGUGAUCGGUGGUGGUCCCAUGCACAUGAGGUUGAAUGGAGGUUCCUCGAGUGAAUCCGGGUGAAAACCCUGCUCUUGGCUCGUUGUCAAGGCUGUCGAUGGCGAUGUUUUCUCCGUCGUCCCAUUCUUGAAGGCAUCGUGAUGGAGAAGCUCUAGACCCCUAUCUGCCACCUUCGGGGGAAACCCUAGAUCGGUUGAUCGGAUGACAGAGGCGCUCUUGUGCCGUAUCCCUCUUGGGGGCGUGAUUCUUGGAGGUAUGCAUAGGCUCGAGGGACCAGUAGACGGCAUCUGCGAUGGAGCAGCGUUCCAUGUGACGCGUCGAUGACGUGGAGUCUCAGCGGCGUGGCGCGGCAGGGCCUCGGUGACGGAUGUGUGAUGAUGGGCGCGUGUAGGGAGUAGGUGUUGUCUGGCGUCAUGGUGACAUCAACAACAGGCCUAGCAAGGUCGACGCGUUAGUAUUUGCUCUGAAGAUGGAUUGAUGGAAGACAGCGGCGACGACCUAUGAGAGUGCGUCGGCCUGGUUUGUGCCCCAUACCUGGUAUGAGGCUUGGCUGGGGUCUUCGGCUUUAGAUGUUAGGCUUAGGUGAGAGGUCUAGGUAUUUGGCUCACACUUUCUGAAGGAAAUAUGCCCUAGAGGCAAUAAUAAAGUUGUUAUUUAUACUAUUUCCUUAUAUCAUGAUAAUGUUUAUUGUUCAUACUAGAAUUGUAUUUACCGAAAAAUUGAUACAUGUGUGAAUACAUAGACAAAACAAAGUGUCCCUAGUAUGCCUCUACUUGACUAGCUCGUUAAUCAAAGAUAGUUAUGUUUCCUGACCAUAGAUUGUGUUGUCAUUUGAUGAACGGGAUCACAUCAUUAGAGAAUGAUGUGAUGGACAAGACCCAUCCGUUAGCUUAGCAUAAUAAUCGAUAAGUUUUAUUGCUAUUGCUUUCUUCAUGACUUAUACAUGUUCCUGUAACUAUGAGAUUAUGCAACUCCCGAAUACCGGAGGAACACCUUGUGUGCUAUCAAACGUCACAAUGUAACUGGGUGAUUAUAAAGAUGCUCUACAGGUGUUUCCGAUUGUGUUUGUUGGGUUGGCAUAGAUCGAGAUUAGGAUUUGUCACUCCGUGUAUUGGAGAGGUAUCUCUGGGCCCUCUUGAUAAUGCUCAUCACUAUAAGCCUUGCAAGCAAUGUGACUAAUGAGUUAGUUGCGGGAUAAAGCAUUACGGAACGAGUAAAGGGACUUGCCGGUAACGAGAUUGAACUAGGUAUGAAGAUACCGACGAUCGAAUCUCGGGCAAGUAACAUACUGAUGACAAAGGGAACAACGUAUGUUGUUAUGCGGUUUGACCGAUAAAGAUCUUCGUAGAAUAUGUAGGAGCCAAUAUGAGCAUCCAGGUUCCGCUAUUGGUUAUUGGUCGAAGGUGUGUCUCGAUCAUGUCUACAUAGUUCUCGAACCCAUAGGGUCCGCACGCUUAACUUUCGAUGACGAUUUGUAUUAUGAUUUAUGUGUUUUGGUGACCGAAGUUUUUUUCGAGUCCCGGAUGAGAUCACUGACAUGACGAGGAGUCUCGAAAUGGUCGAGAGGUAAAGAUUGAUAUAUUGGAAGGUUAUAUACGGACACCAGAAUGGUUUCAAAGAAGAUCAUGGAUUUUUCGGAGUACCGGGAGGUUAUCGGAAGACCCCGAGAAAGUUAUUGGGCCUAUUGGGCCAUAGUGGAGGAGAGGAGGCAAGACAUUGGAGGUGGCACGCGCCCCCCUUGCCCCAAUCCGAAUUGGACAAGGGGGGAGGGGGGGGGGCGCGGCCACCCUCUUUCCUUCUCCCCCUCUCCCUUCCCCUUUCCCCUUUCCGUUGAUUGGAAGGAGGGGGCGAAUCCUACUUAGACUAGGAGUCCAAGUAGGCAUCCCCCCUUGACGUGCCCUCCUUGGCCGCCGGCAUCCUCCUCCCCCUCCUUUAUAUACGUGUCCAGGGGGCACCCCAAAGGACAUCAAUUGUUCUCUUUGCCGUGUGCGGUGCCCCCCUCCAUAGUUUAUUCCUCUGGUCAUAACAUCGUAGUGCUUAGGCGAAGCCCUGCACGGAUCACAUCAUCAACACUGUCGCCACGCCGUUGUGCUGACGGAACUAUCCCUCAACCCUCUACUGGAUCAAGAGUUCGAGGGACGUCAUCGAGCUGAACGUGUGCUGAACACGGAGGUGCCGUAUGUUCGGUACUUGGAUCGGUUGGAUCAUGAAGAUGUUCGACUACAUCAACCGCAUUAACAAACGCUUCUGCUUUCGGUCUACGAGGGUACGUGGACACACUCUCCCCCUCUCAUUUCUAUGCAUCUCCUAGAUAGAUCUUGCGUGAUCGUAGGAUUUUUUUUGAAAUUGCAUGCUACGUUCCCAACAGUGGCAUCAAAGCCAGGUUUAUGCGUAGAUUGUAUGCACGAGUAGAACACAAAGGGUUGUGGGCAAUAAUAGUCAUAUUGCUUACCACCAACGUCUUACUUUGAUUCAACAGUAUUGUGGGAUGAAUUGGCCUGGACCGACAUUACAUGAUCGCGUUCAUGAGACUGGUUCUACCGACGUGCUUUGCACACAGGUGGCUGGCAGGUGUUUGUUUCUCCAAUUUUAGUUGAAUCGAGUUUGACAACGACCGGUCCUUCUUGAAGGUUAAAACAACACACUUGAUGAAAAAUUGUUGUGGUUUUGAUGCAUAGGUAAGAACGGUUCUUGCUAGAAGCCCGUAGCAGUCACGUAAAACUUGCAACAACAAAGUAGAAGACGUCUAACUUGUUUUUGCAGGUCUUGUUCUGAUGUGAUAUGGUCAAGACAUGAUGUGAUAUAAAUUGUUGUAUGAGAUGAUCCUGUUUUGUAACAGAGUUAUCGGCAACUGACAGGAGCCAUGUGGUUGCCGCUUUAUUGUAUGAAAUGCAAUCACCAUGUAAUUGCUUUACUUUAUCACUAAGCGGUAGCGAUAGUCGUAGUAGCAAUAGUUGGUGAGACGACAAUGAUGCUACAAUGGAGAUCAAGGUGUCAAGCCGGUGACAAUGUAGAUCAUGACGGUGCUUUGGAUAUGGUGAUCAAAGGCACAAGAUGAUGAUGGCCAUAUCAUGUCACAUAUUUUCAUUGCAUGUGAUGUUUAUCUAUUAUGCAUCUUAUUUUGCUUAGUAUGGCGGUAGAAUUACAGGAGGAUCCCUCACUAAAUUUCAAGGUAUAAGUGUUCUCACUGAGUAUGCACCGUUGCUACAGUUUGUCGUGCCAAGACACCACGUGAUGGUCGGGUGUGAUAAGCUCUACGUUUACAUACAACGGGUGCAUGCAAGUUUUGCACAUGCGGAAUACUCGGGUUAAACUCGACAAGCCUAGCAUAUGCAGAUAUGGCCUCAGAACACUGAGACCGAAAGGUCGAACAUGAAUCAUAUAGUAGAUAUGAUCAACAUAAAGAUGUUCACCAUUGAAAACUACUCCAUCUCACGUGACGAUCGGACAUGGUUUAGUUGAUAUGGAUCAUGUGAUCAUUUAGAUGACUAGAGGGAUGUCUAUCUAAGUGGGAGUUCUUUAGUAAUAUGAUUAAUUGAACUUUAAUUUAUCAUGAACUUAGUCCCGUUAGUAUUUGCAAAUUAUCUUGUAGAUCAAUAGCUCGCAUUGUUGCUUCCCUAUGUUUUUUGAUAUGUUCCUAGAGAAAACUAAGUUGAAAGAUGAUAGUAGCAAUAGUGCGGACUGGGUCCGUGAUCUGAGGUUUAUCCUCAUUGCUGCAUAGAAGAAUUAUGUCCUUGAUGCACUGCUAGUUGACAGACCUAUUGUAGGAGCAGAUGUAGACGUUAUGAACAUUUGGCUAGCUCAAUAUGAUGACUACUUGAUAGUUUAGUGCACCAUGCUUUACAGCUUAGAACCAGGACUUCAAAAACAUUUGGAAAUGCCAUGGAGCAUAUGAGAAGUUCCUAGAGCUAAAAUUGGUAUUUCAGACUCAUGCCCGUGUCGAGAGGUAUGAGACCUCUAACAAGUACUUCGCCUAAAAGGAUGGAGGAGAAUAGCUCAGCUAGUGAGCAUGUGCUCAGAAUGUCUGGGUACUACAAUCGCUUGAAUCAAAUGGGAGUUAAUCUUCCAGAUAAAAUAAUGAUUGACAGAGUUCUCUAGUCACCAUCACCAAGUUACUAGAACUUCGUGAUGAACUAUAAUAUGCAAGGGAUGACAAAAGCGAUUCCCGAGCUCUUCGUGAUGCUGAAAUCAAUGAAGGUAGAAAUCAAGAAAAAGCAUAAAGUGUUGAUGAUUAAACAAGAUCACUAGUUUCAAGAAAAGGGCAAAGGGAAAGAAAGGGAACUUCAAGAAGAAUGGCAAGCAAGUUGUCACUCCCGUGAAGAAGCCCAAAGCUGGACCUAAGCAUGAAACUAAGUGCUUCUACUGCAAAGGAAAUGGUCAAUGGAAGCGGAGUUACCCCAAAUAUUUGGUGGAUAAGAAGGAUGGCAAAGUGAACAAAGGUAUAUUUGAUAUACAUGUUAUUGAUGUGUACCUUACUAGUUCUCGUAGUAACCCCUAGGUAUUUGAUACUUGUUCAGUUGCUAAGAUCAGUUACCCGAAACAGGAGUUGCAGAAUAAAUAGAGACUAGUUGAGGGUGAAGUGACGAUGUAUGUUGGAAGUGAUUCCAAGAUUGAUAUGAUCAUCAUCGCACAACCCCUAUACUUUCGGGAUUAGAGUUGAACCUAAAUAAAUGUUAUUUGGUGUUUGCGUUACAACAUGAAUAUGAUUAGAUCAUGUUUAUUACAAUACGGUUAUUCAUUUAAGACAGAGAAUAAUUGUUAUCCUAUUUACAUGAAUAAAACCUGCUAUGGUUAUACACCCAAUGUUGAUGGUUUACUGAAUCUCGAUCGUAAUGAUACACAUAUUCAUAAUAUAUUGGUGCCAAAAGAUGCAAAGUUGAUAAUGAUAGUGCAACAUACUUGUAGCACUGCCGUUUAGGUCAUAUUGGCAUAAAGUGCAUGAAGAAACUCCAUGCUGAUGGGAUUUUGAAAUCACUUGAUUAUGAAUCAUUUGAUACUUUCAAACCGUGCCUUAUGGGCAAGAUGACUAAAACUCCGUUCUUCGGAACAAUGGAACGAGCUAAUGACUUAUUGGAAAUAAUACAUACCAAUAUAUGUGGUCCGAUGAGUGUCGAGGCCCGUGGCAGGUAUCAUUAUUUUCUAACCUCCACAAAUGAUUUGAGCAGAUAUAGGUAUAUCUACUUAAUGAAACACAAGUCUGAAACAUUUGAAAAGUUCAAAGAAUUUCAGAGUGAAGUGGAGAAUCAUUGUAACAAGAAAAUAAAGUUUCUACAAUCUGAUCAUGGAGGUGAAUAUUUGAGUUACGAGUUUGGCCUUCAUUUAAAACAAUGUGGAAUAGUUUCACAGCUCACGCCACCUAGAACACCACAACGUAAUGGUGUGUCCGAAAUCGUAACCACACUUUAAUAGAUAUGGUGCAAUCAAUGAUGUCUCUUACCGAUUUACAACUAUCAUUUUGGGAUUAUGCACUAGAGACAACUGCAUUCACGUUAAACAGGAUGACGACCCACAAGUGUAGGGGAUCUAUCGUAGUCCUUUUGAUAAGUAAGAGUGUCGAACCCAACAAGGAGCAGAAGGAAAUGACAAGCGGUUUUAGUAAGGUAUUCUCUGCAAGCACUAAAAUUGUAGGUAACAGAUAGUUUUGUGAUAAGAUAAUUUGUAACGGGUAACAAGCAAUGAAAGUAAAUAAGGUGCGGCAAGGUGGCCCAAUCCUUUUUGUAGCAAAGUACAAGCCUGGACAAUUUCUUAUAAUGAGAAAAGCGCUCCCGAGGACACAUGGGAAUUAUCGUCAAACUAGUUUCAUCACGCUCAUAUGAUUCGCGUUCGUUACUUUGAUAAUUUGAUAUGUGGGUGGACCGGUGCUUGGGUACUGCCCUUUCUUGGACAAGCAUCCCACUUAUGAUUAACCCUAUUGCAAGCAUCCGCAACUAUAAAAGAAGUAUUAAGGUAAACCUAACCAUAACAUGAAACUAGUGGAUCCAAAUCAGCCCCUUACGAAGCAACGCAUAAACUAGGGUUUAAGCUUCUGUCACUCUAACAACCCAUCAUCUACUUAUUACUUCCCAAUGCCUUCCUCUAGGCCCAAAUACUGGUGAAGUGUCAUGUAGUCGACGUUCACAUAACACCACUAGAGGAGAGACAACAUACAUCUCAUCAAAAUAUCGAACGAAUACCAAAUUCACAUGACUACUAAUAGCAAGACUUCACCUAUGUCCUCAGGAACAAACGUAACUACUCACAAAGCAUAUUCAUGUUCAUAAUCAGAGGAGUAUUAAUAUGCAUUAAGGAUCUGAACAUAUGAUCUUCCACCAAGUAAACCAAUUAGCAUCAACUACAAGGAGUAAUCAACACUACUAGCAACCCACAGGUACCAAUUUCUAGUUUUGGAUACAAGAUUGGAUACAAGAGAUGAACUAGGGUUUGAAAGGAGAUGGUGCUGGUGAAGAUGUUGAUGGAGAUUGACCCCCUCCCGAUGAGAGGAUCGUUGGUGAUGAUGAUGGUGAUGAUUUCCCCCUCCCGAAGGGAAGUUUCCCCGGCAGAACAGCUCUGCUGGAGCCCUAGAUUGGUUCCGCCAAGGUUCCACCUCGUGGCGGCGGAGUUUCGUCUCGUAAGCUUGCUUAUGAUUUUUUCCAGGGUAAAAGCCUUCAUAUAGCAGAAGAUGGGCACCGGAGGGCCACCAGGGGGCCCACAAGACAGGGGGUGCACCCAGUAGGGGUGGGCGCGCCCCCCACCCUCGUGGCCAGAGUGUGGGCCCCCUCUGGUACUUUCUUUGCUCAAUAAUUCUUAUUAAUUCCAAAAAUGACUUUCGUGGAGUUUCAGGACUUUUGGAGAUGUGCAGAAUAGGUUUCCAAUAUUUGCUCCUUUUCCAGCCAGAAUCCCAGCUGCCGGCAUUCUCCCUCUUCAUGAUAAUCCUUGUAAAAUAAGAGACAAUAGCCAUAAGUAUUGUGACAUAAUGUGUAAUAACAGCCCAUAAUGCAAUAAAUAUUGAUAUAAAAGCAUGAUGCAAAAUGGACGUAUCAACUCCCCCAAGCUUAGACCUCACUUGUCCUUAAGCGGAAGCCGAUAUCGAGAAAUAUGUCCACAUGUUUAGAGAUAGAGGUGUCGAUAAAAAUAAAAUACGGACAUGAGGGCAUCCUGAUCAUUCUUAUAACACCAACAUAUAUAGAUUUUGUCAUAUGAUUUCUUAUUCUCAAGUAACAAUCUGUUCACAAUGUCAAGUAUGGUACGAAAACUUCAUUGAAAACUAGCAAACUAUAAUCUCAGUCAUUGAAGCAAUUGCAAUUUAUCAUAACAUGAUAAAGAGUCAAGAAUAGAGCUUUUCAGCAAUUCCACAUACUCAACUAUCAUAUAGUCUUCUACAAUUGCUAACACUCACGCAAUACUUAUGGUUAUGGAGUUUUAAUCGGACACUGAGAAAGAUAGGGGCUUAUAAUUUCGCCUCCCAAUGUAUUCACGUUUGGGUGAUGUCAACAAUAAUAGUUCAUGGUAACUUACAUCCAAUUGGAUAUAUAUAUCAGGAUCUUUCCAACACGAGGUGAUUGCCAAAGGAUAAAAUGAAAAAGGGAAAGGUGAAGAUCACCUUGACUCUUGCAAAAAGUAAAAGAUAUAAAGUAAAAGAUAGGCCCUUCGCAGAGGGAAGCAGAGGUUGUCAUGUGCUUUUAGGGUUGGAUGCACAAAAUCUUAAUGCAAAAGAACAUCACUUUAUAUUGCCACUUGUGAUAUGAACCUUUAUUAUGCAGUCUGUCGCUUUUAUUACCUCCAUGUCACACGAUCGUAUAAAGCUUAUUUUCUCCGCACUAAUAAGUCAUACAUAUUUCGAGAGCUAUUUUUAUUCCUUGCAAUAUUACAACUUACUUGAAGGAUCUUACUCAAUCCAUAGGUAGGUAUGGUGGACUCUCAUGGCAAAACUGGGUUUAAGGAUAUUUGGAAGCACAAGUAGUAUCUCUACUUGGUGCAAGGAAUUUUUUUGCUAGCAUGAGGGGGAAAGGCAAGCUCAACAUGUUUGAAUCAUCCAUGACAAUAUACUUUAAGUGAGAUGUGAGAAAACAUAAACCAUUACGUUGUCUUCCUUGUCCAACAUCAACUCUUUAGCAUGUCAUACUUUAAUGAGUGCUCACAAUUAUAAAAGAUGUCCAAGAUAGUAUAUUUAUAUGUGAAAACCUCUCUUUCUUUAUUACUUCCUAUUAAUUGCAACGAUGACCAAAACUAUGUUUGUCAACUCUCAACAACUUUAAUGCCUCAUCCUCUUUAUAUGUGAAGUCAUUACUAUCAAUAAGAUCAGUAUGAACUCUUUUAUUUCUUUUUAUUUUCUUAAGAUCAUGGCAAGAUAGAAAAGCCCUUGACUCAACACUAAUCUUUAUUAUAUAUAACUCACGGACUCGAUUACAUAGAAGGAUCACAGAGCAAAACUCAAAACUAAUUCAUACCAAGACUUUAUUCUACUAGAUCUAGGUAUUACCAAAAGGAUCAAACUAAGUAAAAUGGUAAAGAUAGGAGUGUGAUGAUGAUACGAUACCGGGGCACCUCCCCCAAGCUUGGUAGUUGCCAAGGGGGGUGCCCAUACCCAUGUGAUUAUGUCCUCGGAGGUGGUGAAGACGGUGAUGAUGAUGGUGGAUAAUCGCACAUCAAGCGUAAAAGCUCCUCCAACUUGCGGAUAAUGCCCUUGAGUGCGACGAUAUGAUCUUUCAACAAAAUAUUUUCAUGUGUGAGAUGCUUGUUUUGUAUGUGAGCUACUCAAUCAACUUGAAAGCUUCAAUCUCAGUUGGCGUAAAGAGUUUAGGUAAAAGUUGAGGGAUGUUUUCUUCUUUCGCCGCUAGAGCUUGAUCCUCCAUGGCCUUCUUGAUCCCUUCAUCCUUGUUGAUCUCCUCCGGUUCUUCUCUUUUCAGCUCUAUCUUCAAUAGUCAAGCAUCCUUGUCUUCAUUGUUGGAGGAGGGUGACGUCAUGAUGCUCUAGAUCUGUCAGAAAAACAGCUCGAAACAAAGACAGAAUAUUUUUGCAUGAUACAUUUGUCAAAACCUUCGGGAGAUUAUAUAAUGAAUUUUUACCGACCAAAAGAAGUAAUGUGCAACAAAACAGAGUCCGGGAGGCACACGAGGUGCCCACGAGGCAGGGGGUGCGCCUAGUAAGGGUGGGCGUCCCUCCACCCUCGUGGAGGCCUCGUGUCCUUCCCGGAUUACUUCUUGCUUCCCUAAAUUUUUAAAUUUUCCAAAAUGGAGAAAAUUUGCCAUUAGAACUAUUUUGGACUCGGUUUACUUACCGUACCACAUACCUAUUCCUUUUCAGAGUCUGAAACGUUCUGGAAAGUGUCCCUUAUGUAUUCCUCCGGGGUUACGAUUUCGAUAAUAUUAGUUUCAACAUUUAUAGGAUUACCUGAGAUAUAAUGUUUGAUUCUUUGACCGUUCACCACCUUCGGAUUUGUGCCUUCGAAGUUGUUGAUUUUUAUGGCACCGGAAUGAUAGACCUCUUCGAUAAUGUAAGGGCCUUCCCAUUUAGAGAGAAGUUUUCCUGCAAAAGAUCUUAAACGAGAGUUGAAUAGCAACACAUAAUCACCUACGUUAAACUCACGCUUUUGUAUUCUUUUGUCAUGCCAUCUUUUAACUUUUUCUUUAAACAACUUGGCAUUCUCAUAGGCUUGGGUUCUCCAUUCAUCAAGUGAGCUAACGUCAAAUAACCUCUUCUCACCGGCAAGUUUGAAAUCAUAGUUGAGCUCUUUAAUGGCCCAAUAUGCCUUCUGCUCAAGUUCAAGAGGUAAGUGACACGCUUUUCCAUAAACCAUCUGAUACGGAGACAUACCCAUAGGAUUUUUAUAUGCAGUUCUAUAGGCUCAUAAUGCAUCAUCAAGUUUCUUGGACCAAUUCUUCCUAGAUCUAUUAACAGUCUUUUGCAAAAUUAAUUUGAUCUCUCUAUUGCUCAAUUCUACUUGACCACUAGACUGCGGGUGAUAAGGGGAUGCAAUUCUAUGAUUAACAUCAUACUUAGCAAGCAUUUUAUGGAAAGCACCAUGAAUAAAAUGUCAACCACCAUCAGUCAUGAGAUAUCUAGGGACUCCAAACCUCGGAAAAAUAACUUCUUUAAGCAUCUUAAUAGAGGUGUUAUGAUCAGCACUACUAGUUGGAAUAGCUUCUGCCCACUUAGUAACAUAAUCAACAGCAACUAAAAAAUGUGUGUAUCCAUUGGAGGCAGGAAAAGGUCCCAUAUAAUCAAAGCCCCAAACAUCAAAUGGUUCAAUAACAAGAGAAUAAUUCAUAGGCAUUUCUUGACGUCUACUAAUAUUACCAAUUCUUUGACAUUCAUCACAAGACAAGACAAACUUACGGGCAUCUUUGAUGUCACGCCCAAUAUGCGAUACUAUCCUAAAGAGACUCGAAGGUCCCACCAAGGAUAGAACCGCAUAUUGAAAUGCUUUUACAAGGUGGAUAUCAUUACAUCAACAUUACAUAAAUGGAUGGGGAUACAUACAAAAGGCAUACAGUGCCACAUGAAUACAACAUCACAAAACAUAAGAGCAUCAUCCGACUACGAAUGAAACACAAACAAAAACUCAAACGACAUCCACCCUGCUAGCCCAGGCUGCCGACCUGGAACCUAUCCCCUGAUCGAAUAAGAAGCAGAAGAAGAACUCCAACACAAGAAAACAUCGCUCUCGCGUCAUGAUCAUCGCAUAACCUGUACCUGCAACGGUGAUUUAGAUGGAGGUUCCGACGAAAUGGUCGAGGAAAUUUGAACUCCGGAGAUGAAAACACUUGGAACUAGAAUUUAUUCAUCAAGAACAAACUCCGAAGGAAGGGAUUAAUCACUUGAAUGCAAUAAGAAUAAGAUUUAUUGUAUGCUUAUUCUUCAUCAAAUUAAAUUGAUGACCAACAAUGGAUUUUGCAUACUACUUAUUCUUGUUGGAAAAGGAUUAAGGGGAAAAUGGCGCAAAACUUGAGAAAGUCUUCAUGAACCACCGGUAGGAUUGGAAAGAAUGGAAGGAUUAAUAUGAUGACAAAGGAAAAAGAAUCUGAAUGAACCACCGUAAGUAUUCGAAAAUGUCUGAUUAAAGGGAAUGAAUCACCGGGAAGAAUUAGAGGAACAAAUAUGCUAGAGGGGAUAUAGAUGCAGAAGAACAAAGGGAUCAUGAGCUGAUUAAAGAACACUUGAACGAAGCACCGGGAUACAUAGAGAAUGAUAACUAGAACGAUGGCCUCCGGUGAAAAGAAACGGGAAAACAACUUCUGACAUACUCCGGAUGGGUAAGAAAGAAUAUCUGACAAACUGAAAUAAAUCGAGAUGAUGAUAUGAAGCUAGAACCACGACUCUUCGAGAGGACGGACAAGAUUUAAGAGGAACUCUUCUUCGGUCUUGAAAUGACGACGAGAAAUAGCACCAAAAUUACUAAGACACUCCGGAAGAAUGAAAAGCGAAGAGGUUGAGCCAACAAUGAAAUGAUUUGAAAGCGAUCUUGGAGAAGGCAUGUGACUGAAGAAAUUCAUUCUUACGUCACACUUGAAAAGAAUUUGGAAUGGCUUCGGAAUAAUUAGAAGAGUCAGGUAAGAUCCUGGGAAAAGACCUAUGGGUUAGGGCCCACUAAAAUAGAACACCGUUGGAAAGGAUUGUUGAAUAGAUAGAUGAUGCACCGGAACAAUUGAAAUAUUUGAAUGAGGUGACAACCUCGAAUUAAUUGGAACCCAGACGAAUCUCCUGAGAUGUAUUACGAACUCCGGGAUGAUUGAAUGGCGAGAUGCAAACGAGCAAGGAAAACACUUGAGCCGAGGGAACGAAUAUGAUCUACCGAAAACUUGAAUUGAAUCCACCGGAGAAGAAAAAGAGAUGAAGAAUGUCAAACGAGACGAGAAUUCACCGGUUGAAUUAAUUUACGAAAGACUGAAGAGGUUCCACACGAAUGAAAUUGAUGCUCGAAACAGACUCAGGCUCCGGGAAGAAGAGGGUGGGAGGGAGGGAAAACAAAAGCAACUUGGAAGGGGAAAUCAACUAAUAUCUUGAAGAGAAAACACCGGUUGAAAUCAUUGAGGAAAGAAAGCAAAGACUUCGCACGAGUAGGAUGGAUACUCGAUUACAGACUCCGGCUUCGAGAAGAAAAGGGGUGGGCGGGUGGGAAAGAAAACAACUGAGGAUUGAACUCAAAGAUGAAGAGGCUCAAGUCAACUUGACAAGAAAUGCACCGGAUGAAAAGAGCUGAGGAACAACGAUCGAAAAACUAACCGCGUGAACCUAACGAAAAUUUGAAGGGGAAGAGGAGUAAUUCAAAACACCUACGUCAAGAUUCCUUACCAGAGCGACGAAGGGGCUGAGGAGUAAAAAGAAUUCCUACUCUCCGAUAUAACUAGACUCCGAAAACAGUUUUCUUCUAGACUCGACAACGGCCAAACUACACGAUCAAUGAAGGGGGCUCCUAAGUUCAGUCGAGGCUCUGAUACCAACUUGUCACGCCCAAUAUGCGAUACUAUCCUAAAGAGACUCGAAGGUCCCACCAAGGAUAGAACCGCAUAUUGAAACGCUUUUGCAAGAUGGAUAUCAUUACAUCAACAUUACAUAAAUGGAUGGGGAUACAUACAAAAGGCAUACAGUGCCACAUGAAUACAACAUCACAAAACAUAAGAGCAUCAUCCGACUACGAAUGAAACACAAACAGAAACUCAAACGACAUCCACCCUGCUAGCCCAGGCUGCCGACCUGGAACCUAUCCCCCGAUCGAAGAAGAAGUAGAAGAAGAACUCCAACACAAGAAAACAUCGCUCUCGCAUCAUGAUCAUCGCAUAACCUGUACCUGCAACUGUUGUUGUAGUAAUCUGUGAGCCACGAGGACUCAGCAAUCCCAUUACCAUGGGUAUCAAGACUAGCAAAGCUUAAAGGGAAAGGAAGGGGGUUAAGUGGUGAGGUUGCAGCAUCGACUAAGCAUAUAUGGUGGCUAACAUACGCAAAUGAGAGCGAGAAGAGAACAAAUGGAACGAUCGUGAAGCUAGCAAUGAUCAAGAAGUGAUCCUGAACUCCUACUUACGUCAAACAUAACCCAAAACUGUGUUCACUUCCCGGACUCCGCUGAAAUGAGACCAUCACGGCUACACACAUGGUUGAUGCGUUUUAAUUCAGAUCUGGUGUCAAGUUAUCUACAACCGGACAUUAACAAAUUCCCAUCUGUGGCAUAACCGUGUGCACGACUUUAGAAAGAUUAUACCCUGCAGGGGUGUCCCAACUUAGCCCAUGAUAAGCUCUCGCGAUCAACGAAGGAUAUACCUUCUCCCAGGAAGACCCGAUCAGACUCGGAAUCCCGGUUUACAAGACAUUUCGACAAUGGUAAAACAAGACCAGCAAAGCCGCCCGAUGCGCCGACAAUCCCGAUAGGAGCUGCACAUAUCUCGUUCUCAGGGCAACACCGGAUGAGACAUCCUACGAGUAAAACCAGACCUCGAGUUUCCCCGAGGGGGCCCCGCAGUCUACUCGGUUCGGACCAACACUUAGACAAGCACUGGCCCCGGGGGGGGGGGGCUAAAAUAAAGAUGACCCUUGGGUUAAUUACUCCCAAGGGAAAUAUAGGUGGUGGUGAGGCAAAUGGUAAAACCAAGGUUGGGCCUUGCUGGAGGAGUUUUAUUCAAAGCGAACUGUCAAGGGGGUCCCAUAAAUCACCCAAACGCGUUAGGAACGCAAAAUCCGGGAACAUAACACCGGUAUGACGGAAACUAGGGAGGCAAGAGUGGAACAAAACACCAAGCUUAAGGCCGAGUCUUCCACCCUUUACCAAAUAUAUAGAUGCAUUAAUUAAAUAAGAGAUGUUGUGAUAUCCCAACAUAAUCCUGUCCACCAUGGGGCAAUCUUCAACUUCACCUGCAACUAACAACGCUAUAAGAGGGCUGAGCAAAGUGGUAACAUAGCCAAGCAAUGGUUUGCUAGGAAGGGUGGAAAAGGUUAGAGGCUGACAUGGCAAUUUGGGAGGCUUGAGGAACAAGUGAUAGGUAGCGCAUCCUAGCGAUAGAACGGAGCAACUAGCAUAGCAAUGAUAGUAAUGAGAUCCAAGGUGACGGUCAUCUUGCCUGAAAUCCCGCAAGGAAGAAGAACCAGUCCAUGAAGAAGAUGAAGCCACGAAGACGAACCAAGCGUAGCCGAACGAAUCCUCACGAUCGCAACAAAACGGGAACUAUCGAGAGAAGCACACAACAUAGUAAACACACCACACAUGAACAUGACAUGAUGCACAAACAUGUAUGAUGCAUGGCAAGGCUACAUGAAGCUACUCAUGGCAAGAGAUGAUGCAAACAAGAGCAACACAUCAAGACAAGUUUAAAUGAGGCCGGGAACAACAUAUAACAAUUCCGGUAAGUCCUCAUAUGCAAGUUUCGAAAUUGGUCCAGAUCUGAAUAAACCUUAUGUUCAAGUUGUUAAACAGCAAGUUAAAAUGCACCAAGAUGAUCUACACGAGAUUCUAGUCAAGUUACAUAUAAAGUUUGUUUAAUUCGGAGCUACGACCUAGAAUAUAUGAGCAAAACAAGUCAAACAUGGCAUUGAUGCAAAAUGCAUAAAAACAUCAAGCAAACACCUCAAAACAUGGAUGCAACAUGAUAAUAUGAAAUUACAUGCAAAAUCAAGCAAGUUUCAUAAAGAGCACACUCAAAACGGAGCAACGGUUCAACACACACACACACUAUACAAGUUAUAGCAACAAUCUGUCCAAAACAGCAACUAGGCAUAUUGCAAGCAUCAAAACAACAUGCUACAGCAUCUGAACAUGAGAACAAAAGGCAUGGACAUGAUGUACAGGUAAAGCAUAACAAAACAUGAACACUGAGCUAUCUCCAUAAAUCACUAGAACAUGCUCAAACACCCAUGGCAAGAUUGCAAAUGAUAACAGUUUCAGACUUUGCAGAAAUAACAUCAGGUUGCAAUGUUUAGAGCUAUCAAACAGCAUGCUACAGGAACUUAUCAUAGCAAAAUAAGGCAUGGUAUGAAGCUACUAAUUUCAUAGAAAAAAAGUACCUUACUGACCAUGAGCCAAAAAGGAUCAGAAGAUAUGAUGGCACCCAUGUAAACAUGGCAAGUUAUAUGACAGAUUCAUACAUGGCAGGAACAACAAUAAGUAGGCAUGUUGGUGAGCUUGUACCACUCACCACAGAGCAUUACAUGACAAUACAAGAAAACCAACAGUAAGAGGACAUGUUUAUGAAUCUAAGCAUGGCAAGAGCAAGUUCAUAGGGUACAUGGAUCACUAGCAAAGCACAUGGCAAAACUGAACUUCAUGUUAACAGGAUGACAACAACAUUAUUUAGAAACUUUGGAGCAAGAUUACAACAAUUUAAAGAAAGCUAUAAAUUCAACCAGGGGCAUGGAUGGAUAGAUCAUUACAUGCACAACAAAUCAUCCUUAGUGAACAUCUCCAGAUUAUGCAUAGAAUGACUAGUAGCAGCAGGUUUACAUAGCAUCACGAAAUAACAGAUUCAGCCUAGCAAAACAGUAACAACAAGUACACUACUUCACGAGCUCGAUUCACUCACCACAAGUCAUUGCAUGACAAGAUAAGCAUAGCAUAAGCAAGAAUACAUUUUUGUGAAACUAAACAAGGCAAGAACAAGUUCAUAGCAUGCAAGGAUCAACUACAAUAACCUUGGCAAAAUUGAAUAACAUGUAAACAAUCUGCCAGGAAGCAUUUUAUAGCAAAAGUAGAGCAAGAAAAUGACAUGCUAGACUAAUCCAUAAUUGCAAACAGGGGCAUGGAUGGAUAGAGAAUAACCAUAUGUUCAAAACAUCCUUAGUGAAGUAUCCCAAAAUAAGCUAGGAUCUCUCUGUAGUAUCAAGUUUACAUGGCAUAAUAAUAACAGCAGAACAGGGACUGAAAUCAGCAACAUCACGAAGCCUAGGUUGCAUGCUUGUUCUAGUCACCCCAUUGAUCAAAAAAAUACAUGGCAUACGCCCCUAUAAAGAUGGAAUGAGGUAGCACAAAACACAUGUAGGCAUCAACCUCAUAGGAUGCACACAUCAAACAUGGCAAAAAUGACAAAUGAACAUGUUCUGUUAACACACAUCAGACAACAUUAUAUAGCACUCUUGCAACGAUGCUUCAGGCAUCAAGAUGGACUCAAAUGAACAUGAUGCAAUGGAAUGAAAUGUAUAGCAUAUCACAACAAACAUUUUGACAUAUCAUACACACGAAACAGAGCAGUAUGCAUGGAUUUAUGAGGCGAUGAACAGGGGACCAAAAUGUAUGAAUUUUUGGGACUUAGCAAAAAAUUUCACCUCGCAAAAAAAAACGAGGCGGGCCGGUGUGGAGGAUGGCGCUGGGAUGGGCCUUCGCUCUGCUGGGCCUUGGUCGAGGCCGGUCCCAAGAGGGCAGGGGAGGAGCUCCUCGUCCUCCUCGUGCGCUCGCACGAGCAGGGAGGUCAUGGCAGUGGCGGAUAUGUCCGGCCGAUAGGGAUAAAACUUCCGACGGCGCGAGAAGAGGGAGAGCUAGGGUUUCGGGGGGAUUUGAUCCGCGAAUUUCGGGGGAGGGGGCUAUUUAUAGAUUCUGGGAGCUAGGAGAGUCCAAAUGAGGAGCGGUUUUCGCCCACACGAUCGUGAUCGAACGACCGAGAGCAUGGAGGGGAGUUUGCUGGGUUAGUGGGCUGAUUUGGAGGGUUGCUGGGCUGCAAGAGAAAAGGGGGUUUCGGGCUACGCGGUUAACCGAUGGAGUAUCAAACGACCUUUAAAUGGCACAAAACUUGACAGGCGGUCUACCGGUGCUAUACCAAGGCCGAUUGGCAAACCUCAGGCCAUUCCGAGAAAGUUCAACACCCGCUCACAACAAGAGACAAAAAGGGGGACGCUGGAGGACAUAGGAGUGCCGGAUUGCAAAAUGAACAACGGGGAAAAUGCUCGGAUGCAUGAGACGAACACAUAUGCAAUGCAAUGCAAUGCACAUGAUGACACAAUACAAAUGAUGUCAUGGAAGAAUGCAACACGCAAGCAAAUGACAUGGCAACGACGGCGAAUAACUGGCAGACACCUGGCGCAUCGAAUCCGGGGCGUUACAUUUGAAGAGAGUAGGCCAAUAAAAACCGGAUUGCAAUACCUUAUGUGCAGUUCUAUCUCCAGUGUGGUGUCCUCCAUAUGGUUUGAGUGACACUUGCGUAGGAUCUAUUCCUGUUCAUGCUCAGGUACACAAUGUCUGAUAACACCAUCUACUCCUUCUUUAUAAAGGUGUGGGUCAUCCCAGAAGUAAUGUCUUAAAUCGUAAAAGAACUUUUUCUUUUGUUGGUAUGUAUUAGCAUAAUUAGCAUAAAUCAGCAUACCAUGGAGCAGUACGAGAAGCAUUAAUGACCGCUAAUUUUUCAUCAGGGAAGCUAUCAUCAAUAGGUAGUGGGUCAUCAAGAAUUUCUAUCAAUAAUAUGCAAAUCAAAUUCUUCGAGCAAGAGGACCCAUCUAAUAAGUAUAGGUUUAGCAUCUUUCUUUUCCAUAAGAUAUUUAAUAGCAGCAUGAUCAGUGUGAAUAGUUACUUUAGAAUUAAUAAUAUAAGGUCUGAACUUAUCACAUGCAAAUACAACUGCUAAGAAUUCUUUUUCAGUAGUAGCAUAAUUUCUCUGGGCAGUAUCAAGAGUUUUACUAGCAUACCGGAUAACAUUUAAGUUCUUAUCAACUCUUUGCCCUAGAACAGCACCUACAGCAUAAUCGCUAGCAUCACACAUAAUUUCAAAGGGUAAAUUACAAUCAGGUAGCUGAACAAUAGGUGCAAUGAUCAAAGCUUUCUUAAGUAUUUCAAAUGCUUAUACACAAUCAUCAUCAAAGACAAAAGGAAUAUCUUUUUGCAAUAAAUUAGUCAGAGGCCUAGAGAUUUUAGAAAAGUCCUUAAUGAACCUCCUAUAAAAACUGGCAUGACCAAGGAAACUUCUUAUACCUUUAAUUUCCUUGGGACAUGGCAUCUUUUCAAUAGCAUCAACUUUAGCUUUAUCAACUUCAAUACCUUUUUCAGAAAUUUUAUGCCCCAAGACAAUGCCUUCAUUAACCAUAAAGUGGCACUUUUCCCAAUUCAAGACGAGACUAGUGUCUUCACAUCUCUGCAAAGCUCGAUCAAGGUUGCUCAAGCAAUCAUCAAAAGAGGAUCCAUAAACGAAGAAGUCAUCCAUGAAUACCUCACAAAUCUUUUCACAGAAGUCAGAGAAUAUAGCCAUCAUGCAUCUUUGAAAGGUAGCAGGUGCAUUACAUAAACCAAAAGGCAUACGUCUAUAAGCAAAAGUACCGAAAGGGCAAGUAAAAGUAGUUUUUGAUUGAUCACCCGCUGACACAGGUAUUUGAGAGAAAGCUGAAUAACCAUCUAGAAAGCAGAAAUUUGUAUGUUUGGAUAGUCUUUCUAGCAUUUGAUCAAUAAAAGGUAAAUGGUAAUGAUCUUUCUUAGUAGCUUUAUUUAAUUUACGGAAAUCAAUUACCAUCCUAUAACCUGUAAUAAUUCUUUGCGAAAUCAAUUCAUCUUUAUCAUUAGGAACAACAGUAAUACCUCCCUUUUUAGGAAUGCAAUGGACAUGACUUACCCAAUCACUAUCAGCAAUGGGAUAAAUUAUACCUGCCUCAAGGAGCUUUAGUAUCUCCUUUCUUACCACUUCUUUCAUCUUAGGAUUUAACCGUCGUUGAUGAUCUCUAACUGGUUUGGAACCUUCGGCCAAUUUAAUUUUAUGUUGGCAUAUAGUGGGACUAAUGCCCUUAAGAUCAUCCAGAGUAUAUCCAAUAGCAACACAAUGCUUCUUUAAAGUUUUCAAUAAUCUUUCAUCUUCUUGCUCUGAAAGGUUAGCAUUAAUAAUAACAGGAUAUAUCUUCUUUUCAUCAAGAUAAGCAUAUUUAAGAUUAUCAGGUAAAGGUUUGAGCUCAAACACGGGAUCACCCUUGGGUGGAGGGAGAUCCCCUAGGAUUUCAGUAGGCAAGUUGUGUUUCAGAAUAGGACCAUGUUGAAGGAAUACUUCAUCUAUUUCCCUUCUUUCAUUCAUAAACAUGUCAUUUUCAUGGUCUAGCAACUAUUGUUCUAACGGAUCAGUAGGAGGCCCGACAAUAGAAGUAAGACCAAUAAUUUCAUCCUUACUAGACGGUUCUUUAUCAUGUGGUUGUCUAUGAAAUUUAGCAAAAUUAAACUCAUGAGCCAUAUCAUCCAAGCCAAUCAUGACAACAUCCUUUCCGCAAUCAAUCUUAGCAUUAACAGUAUUCAAGAAGGGUCUACCAAAUAUAAUGGGACAAAAUCUAUCUUGUGGGGAACCCAGAAAAAGAAAAUCAGCAGGAUAUUUAACUUUCCCACACAAGACUUCAACAUCUCUAACAAUCCCAACUAGUGAAAUAGUAUCUCUAUUGGCAAGCUUAAUUGUAACAUCUAUUUCUCCUAACUCAGUGGGUGCAAUAUCAUGCAUAAUUUCUUCAUAUAAGGAAAAAGGUAUUGCACUAGCACUAGCACACAUAUCACAUAAGCCAUGAUAGCAAUGAUCUCCUAUUUUAACAGAAAUAACAGGCAUGCCUACAGCAGGUCUAUGUAUCUUAGCAUCGGGCCUAGCAAUAUUAGCAGCCUGUUCACAGAAGUAAAUAACAUGCCCAUCUAUAUUAUCAUCCAAGAGAUCUUUAACCAUAGCAAUACUAGGUUCAACUUUAAUUUGCUUAGGAGGUGUAUAUGUUCUAGUAUUACUCUUACGAACCACAGUUGAAGUUUUAGCAUGAUCCUUUAUUCUAACAGGAAAAGGUGGUUUCUCAACAUAAGUAGUAGGAACAAUAGGAUCAUUAUAAGUGAUAAUCUUUUCUUCAACUGUAACAGGUGCAACUAAUUUUACUUUAAUGGGAGGAUUAUAUUUAAACCACUUAUCCUUAGGGAGAUCAAUGUGAGUAGCAAAAGAUUCACAGAAAUAAGCUACUAUCUCAGAGUCAAGUCCAUAUUUAGCGCUAAAUCCACGAAAAGCAUCGGUAUCCAUAAAAGAUUUAACACAAUCAAACAUAGGUGUCAUACCUGACUCCUUACCAUCGUCGGAACCCCAAUCUUCAGAGUUGCGUUUAAUUAUUUCCAAUAAAUCCCACUUGAAUUCAAUAGUCUUCAACAUAUAAGAACCAUCACAGGAAGUAUCGAGCAUGGUGCGAUCAUUGAGAGAAAGCCGAGCAUAAAUUUUUUGAAUAAUCAUAUCUCUUGAGAGCUCAUGAUUGGGGCAUGAAUAUAUAAUUGACUUAAGCCUCCCCCAAGCUUGAGCGAUGCUUUCUCCUUCGCGAGGCCAGAAAUUAUAUAUGUAAUUACGAUCACGAUGAACAAGAUGCAUAGGAUAGAACUUCUGGUGAAAUUCCAACUUCAAUCAUUUAUAAUUCCAAGAUCCCGUAUCAUCACAUAGCCUAUACCAUGUCAAUGUGUCUCCCUUCAAAUAUAAAGGAAAGACUUUCCUUUUAACAACAUCAUCGGGAAUACCUGCAAGCUUAAAUAAUCCACAAACUUUAUCCACAUAGAUAAGGUGUAAAUCAGGACGCAAUGUUCCAUCUCCUGCAAAAGGAUUAGCUAGCAGUUUCUCUAUCAUACCCGAAGGAAUCUCAAAGUAAACAUUUUCAGUAGGUUCAGUAGGUUGAGGAACAACUCUUUGCUCUACUGGUCGGGGCGAAGAUGCCCCAAACAAGCCCCUCAAAGGAUUAGUUUCCAUAGUAACAAGUGACAGAAAAUUUCAGCACACUAUAUAAAUGUUUCCUUACCAAGUUUCACUCACCAAAGGCGCUUCACUCCCCGGAAACGACGCCAGAAAAGAAUCUUGAUGACCCACAAGUAUAGGGAAUCUAUCAUAGUCCUUUCGAUAAGUAAGAGUGUCGAACCCAACGAGGAGCAGAAGGAAAUGACAAGCGGUUUUUAGUAAGGUAUUCUCUGCAAGCACUAAAAUUGUAGGUAAUAGAUAGUUUUGUGAUAAGAUAAUUUGUAACGGGUAACAAGCAAUGAAACUAAAUAAAGUGCAGCAAGGUGGCCCAAUCCUUUUUGUAGCAAAGGACAAGCCUGGACAAUUUCUUAUAAUGAGAAAAUCGCUCCUGAGGACACAUGGGAAUUAUCGUCAAACUAGUUUCAUCACGCUCAUAUGAUUCACGUUCGGUACUUUGAUAAUUUGAUAUGUGGGUGGACCGGUGCUUGGGUACUGCCCUUUCUUGGACAAGCAUCCCACUUAUGAUUAACCCCUAUUGCAAGCAUCUGGAACUACAAAACAAGUAUUAAGGUAAACCUAACCAUAGCAUGAAACUAGUGGAUCCAAAUCAGCCCCUUACGAAGCAACACAUAAACUAGGGUUUAAGCUUCUGCCACUCUAGCAACCCAUCAUUUACUUAUUACUUCUCAAUGCCUUCUUCUAGGCCCAAAUAAUGGUGAAGUUUCAUGUAGUCGACGUUCACAUAACACCACUAGAGGAGAGACAACAUACAUCUCAUCAAAAUAUCGAACAAAUACCAAAUUCACAUGACUAAUAAUAGCAAGACUUCAUCCAUGUCCUUAGGAACAAACGUAACUACUCACAAAGCAUAUUCAUGUUCAUAAUCAGAGGAGUAUUAAUAUGCAUUAAGGAUCUGAACAUAUGAUCUUCCACCAAGUAAACCAAUUAGCAUCAACUACAAGGAGUAAUCAACACUGCUAGCAACCCACAGGUACCAAUUUGUGGUUUUGGAUACAAGAUUGGAUACAAGAGAUGAACUAGGGUUUGAGAGGAGAUGGUGCUAGUGAAGAUGUUGAUGGAUAUUGACCCCCUCCCGAUGAGAGGAUUGUUGGUGAUGACGAUGGUGAUGAUUUCCCCCUCCCGGAGGGAAGUUUCCCCGGCAUAACAGCUCUACCGGAGCCCUAGAUUGGUUCCGCCAAGGUUCCGCCUCAUGGCAGAGGAGAUUCGUCUUGUAAGCUUGCUUAUGAUUUUUUUUUUCCAGGGUAAAAGCCUUCAUAGAGCAGAAGAUGGGCACCGGAGAGCCACCAGGGGGCCCAUGAGACAGGGAGGCGCGCCCAGUAGGGGUGGGCGCGCCCCCACCCUCGUGGCCAGGGUGUGGGCCCCCUCUAGUACUUUCUUUGCUCAAUAAUUCUUAUUAAUUCCAAAAAUGACUUUCGUGGAGUCUGAGGACUUUUGGAGCUGUGCAGAAUAGAUUUCCAAUAUUUGCUCCUUUUCCAGCCAGAAUCCCAACUACCGGCAUUCUCCCUCUUCAUGAUAAUCCUUGUAAAUAAGAGAGAAUAGCCAUAAGUAUUGUGACAUAAUGUGUAAUAACAGCCCAUAAUGCAAUAAAUAUCGAUAUAAAAGCAUGAUGCAAAAUGGACGUAUCACAGGGCACCGUCGAAAUCCGUUGAGACGACAUCGUAUGAACUAUGGUUUGGCAACAAACGUAAGCUAUCAUAUCUUAAAGUUUGGGGUUGCGAUGCUUAUGCGAAAAAGCUUCAACCUGAUAAGCUCGAGCCCAAAUCGGAGAAAUGUGUCUUCAUAGGAUGCCCAAAAGAAACUAUUGGGUACACCUUCUAUCACAGAUCCGAAGGCAAGAUAUUCGUUGCUAAGAAUGGAUCCUUUCUAGAGAAGGAGUUUCUCUCGAAAGAAGUGAGUGGGAGGAAAGUAGAACUUGAUGAGGUAAUUGUACCUUCUCCCAAAUUGGAAAGUAGUUCAUCACAGAAAUCAGUUCCACUUAUUCCUACACGAAUUAGUGAAGAACCUAAUGAUGAUCAUGAAACUUCAGAUCAAGUUACUACCGAACCUCGUAGGUCAACCAGAGUACGGUCCGCACUAGAGUGGUAUGGUAUUCCUAUUCUGGAAGUCAUGUUACUAGACCAUGAUGAACCUACGAACUAUGAUUAAGUGAUGAUGAGCCCAGAUUCCGCGAAAUGGCUUGAGGCCAUGAAAUCUGAGAUGGGAUCCAUGUAUGAGAACAAAGUGUGGACUUUGGUGGACUUGCCCGAUGAUCGGCAAGCCAUAGAAAAUAAAUGGAUCUUCAAGAGGAAGACGGACGCUGAUAGUAGUGUUACUAUCUACAAAACUCAACUUGUCGCAAAAGGUUUUCGACAAGUUCAAGGUGUUGACUACAAUGAGAUUUUCUCAACUAUAGAGAUGCUUAAAUCCGUCUGAAUCAUGUUAGCAAUUGCCAUAUUUUAUGAAAUUUGGCAAAUGGAUGUCAAAACUGUAUUCCUUAAAUGGAUAUUUCUUAAAGAAGAGUCGUAUAUGAUGCAACCAGAAGGUUUUGUCUAUCCUAAAGGUACUAACAAGGUGUGCAAGCUCCAUCGAUCCAUCUAUGGACUGGUGCAGGCAUCUCGGAGUUGGAAUAUACACUUUGAUGAGUUGAUCAAAGCAUAUAGUUUUAUACAUAAUUGCGAUGAAGCAUUUAUUUUAUAAGAAAGUGAGUGGGAGCACUACAACCUUUCUGAUAAGUAUAUGUGAAUGACAUAUUGUUGAUCGGAAAUGAUGUAGAACUUUCUAGAAAGCAUAAAGGAGAGUUUGAAAGGAGAUUUUCAAAGAAAGACCUCGGUGAAGCUGCUUACAUAUUGGGCAUCAAGAUCUAUAUAGAUAGAUCAAGACGCUUGAUAAUAUUUUUCAAUGAGUACAUACCUUGACAAGAUUUUGAAAGAUUUCAAAAUGGAUCAGUCAAAGAAGGUGUUCUUGCCUAUAUUACAAGGUGUAAAGUUGAGUAAAACUCAAAGCCCGACCACGACAAAAGAUAGAAAGAGAAUGAAAGUCAUUCCCUAUGCCUCGGUCAUAGGUUCUAUAAAGUAUACCAUGCUAUGUACCAGACCAGUUGUGUGCCUUGCUAUGAGUUUGGCAAGGGGGUACGAUAGUGAUCCAGGAGUGGAUCACUGUAUAGCGGUCAAAGUUAUCCUUAGUUACCUAAGAGGACUAAGGAAGUAUUUACCAGUUAUGGAGGUGAUAAAGAAUUCAUCAUAAAGAGUUACGUCGAUGUAAGCUUUACACCAAUCCAGAUAACUCCGAGUCUCAGUCUAGAUACAUAUUGAAAGUGGGAGCAAUUAGCUAGAGUAGCUCCAUGCAAAGCAUUGUAGACAUAGAAAAUUUGCAAAAUACAUACGGCUCUGAAUUUAGCACACCCAUUGACUAAACUUCUCUCACAAGCAAAACAUGAUUACACCUUAGUACUCUUUGGGUGUUAAUCACAUAGCGAUGUGAACUAGAUUAUUGACUCUGGUAAACCCUUUGGUUGUUGAUCACAUGGCGAUGUGAACUAUGGGUGUUAAUCACAUACAUAUGUGAACUAUUGGUGUUAAAUCACAUGGCGAUGUGAACUAGAUUAUUGACUCUAGUGCAAGUGGGUGACUGAAGGAAAUAUGCCCUAGAGGCAAUAAUAAAGUUGUUAUUUAUAUUUCCUUAUAUCAUGAUAAAUGUUUAUUAUUCAUGCUAGAAUUUUAUUAACCGGAAACUUGAUACAUGUGUGAAUACAUAGACAAAACAAAGUGUCCCUAGUAUGCCUCUACUUGACUAGCUCGUUAAUCAAAGAUGGUUAUGUUUCCUGACCAUAGACAUGUGUUGUCAUUUGAUGAACGGGAUCACAUCAUUAGAGAAUGAUGUGAUGGACAAGACCCAUCCGUUAGCUUAGCAUAAUGAUCGAUAAGUUUUAGUGCUAUUGCUUUCUUCAUGACUUAUAGAUGUUCCUCUGACUAUGAGAUUAUGCAACUCCCGAAUACCAGAGGAACACCUUGUGUGCUAUCAAACAUCACAACAUAACUGGUUGAUUAUAAAAAUGCUCUACAGGUGUCUCCAAGGUGUUUGUUGGGUUGGCAUAGAUCGAGAUUAGGAUUUGUCACUCCGUGUAUUGGAGAGGUAUCUCUGGGCCCUCUUGGUAAUGCUCAUCACUAUAAGCCUUGCAAGCAAUGUGGCUAAUGAGUUAGUUGCGGGAUGAAGCAUUAUGGAACGAGUAGAGAGACUUGCCGGUAAUGAGAUUGAACUAGGUAUGUAGAUAUCGAUGAUCGAAUCUCGGGCAAGUAACAUACUGAUGACAAAGGGAACAACAUAUGAUGUUGUGCGGUUUGACCGAUAAAGAUCUUCGUAGAAUAUGUGGAAGCUAAUAUGAGCAUCGAGGUUCCACUAUUGGUUAUUGAUCAAAGAUGUGUCUCGAUCAUGUCUACAUAGUUCUAGAACCCGUAGGGUCCGCACGCUUAACGUUCGAUGGUGAUUUGUAUUAUGAGUUAUGUGUUUUGGUGACCGAAGUUUGUUCAGAGUCCCGGAUGAGAUCACGGACAUGAUGAGGAGUCUCGAACUGGUAAAGAUUGAUAUAUUGGAACAUUAUAUACGGACACCGGAAUGGUUUCGAGGAAGAUCGGGGAUUUUUUGGGGUACCGGGAGGUUACCGGAGCCCCGAGGGAAAGUUAUUUGGCCUAUUGGGCCAUAGUGGAGGACAGGAGGCAGGCCACGGGAGGUGGCCCCCCUUGCCCCAAUCUGAAUUGGACAAGGGGAGGUGCAUGGACCCCCUCUUUCCUUCUCCCUCUCUUCCUUCCCCUUUCCCCUCUCCUUUGAUUGGAAGGAGGGAGGAAGACUCCUACUUGGACUAGGAGUCCAAGUAGGAUUCUCCCCUUGGCGCGCCCUGGCCGCCGACCUCCUCCCCCUCCUUUAUAUACGUGUCCAGGGGGCACCCCAAAAGGACAUCAAUUGUUCUCUUUGUCGUGUGUGGUGUCCCCCUCCACAGUUUACUCCUCCGGUCAUAACGUCGUAGUGCUUAGGCAAAGCGCUGCGCGGAUCACAUCAUCAACACCGUCACCACGCCGUCGUGCUAACGGAACUCUCCCUCGACCCUCUAGUGAUCAAGAGUUCGAGGGACGUCAUCGAGCUGAACGUGUGCUGAACACGGAGGUGUUGUAUGUUUGGUACUUGGAUCGGUUGGAUCGUGAAGACAUUUGACUACAUCAACCGCGUUAACUAACACUUCUGCUUUCGGUCUAUGAGGAUACGUGGACACACUAUCCCCCUCUCGUUGCUAUGCAUCUCCUAGAUAGAUCUUGCAUGAUCGUAUAUUUUUUUUGAAAUUGCAUGCUAUGUCUCCAACACUUUCUGCACCCCUUCAUCAAUGGAUAGGAGUAGCGACAGAUGCUACCUAGAUGGCGGCUUCAAACAUAUUGAUGUGUUACUUUGUGUGGUCUUUGUGAAUAAUUAAUAAAGUGGAUGCAUGCAUAUCCCAGAUACAGAGGCCAGGGGUCAUCCUCCUUUAAAAAAAAUGUGGUCUUAAUCGGUCCGUCCAAGCGUAUUUUUCCGCAAACCGAAGACAAAGUGUGAAGGCUUUGCUAGCAUCUGGACAGACCAUUGCCAUGUUUGUGUCUGAUCGCCCUAACCCACAUGUCUCUCCCCCGCUUUCCAUCCAACACCUGCGCCACUUGCUGUGCCACAUUCAUGCCAACACAGAGCAUGCAUCGGUCGGCAUUAAGGCUGAGCGACGCGACCGGACGUGAAGGCAACAUUGACGCACGCGACCUCUCAGGCGUCACCGCUUCAAUGUGGAUGUAGCGUCCUGAGAAACCAACUCUGGACGUUGCGCCGCAUUGUAGCGGGCUGACCAGCCCUUCGCAUGGCUUGCCCAUGGUUAUUUAAGCUUUGCCCUGGCGAUGCACAUCCUCACUCCGUCCUCUCCGAGCACCUCCAACUACAACAGAAUGCCGAUGUUGUGGUUCUCCACACCGGCACACGGAGCGAUGGCAGUGGCAGCUCAUCAUUGUCAGAUUUCGGGUUCCGCAAACCCUUGAUAGGUUCGAACCUAGCACGUCGAGCUCAAGGGGACAAUGAGACACAACAGUUUAUCCUGGUUCGGGCCACCUUGCGGUGUAAUACCCUACUCCUAUGUUUUGGUGGAUUGCCUUGAGGGGAUGAGGAUGAACUAGUACAGUUCAUGAACAAGCCUCAUGAGGUGAGGUGUUCUUGAGCUCAAGAGAGCUGGUGCGGUGGUCGGAUGAGAAUGGACCCCCCCUUUCUAUGGCGGUGGCUAAGUCCUAUUUAUAGUGGCCUCGGGCCUCCUCCCAAAUGUUGGCGGGAAGGGAUCCAACAAUGGCCAGAUUUGAAGGGGGACAACGAGUACACCCUAUCCUGACUAAAGUGGUCUUCGCCUGCAAAAGCCUCUGGUCAUGACGCUGCGGUGGGCUCGGCGAUGACCUCUGUCCUACCAUCCUAGCGGUCUUGGUCUCGUUGCACCAGAAUGGAAACCUUUGGCUGAUUCCUAGGGACUCCGCGCCUGCUGCUUGCCUCCUUUGCACCAAAGAGGAAACUGGUACUCUGCGCCCGCUGGUGCCCGCCUGGCCUUGGUCUUCAUGGCUCACGUGAGCUGAGCCUCAUGAGGUGCACCUUGCAUAGAAGUCUCUGAUAUGUCUCCAACGUAUCUAUAAUUUUUAUUGUUCCAUGCUAUUAUAUUACCUGUUUUGGCUGUUUAUGGGCUUUAUUUUACACAUUUAUAUCAUUUUUGGGACUAACCUACUAACCGGAGGCCCAACCCGUAUUGCUGUUUUUUUGCAUAUUUCAGUAUUUCGAAGAAAAGGAAUACCAAACGGAGUCCAAAUGGAAUGAAACCUUCGGGAGCGUGAUUUUUGGAACGAACGUGAUCCAGAGGACUUGGAGUGCAAGUCAAGAAGCAGCCCAAGCUUCCACGAGAUAGGAGGGCGCCCCCCUAUAGGGCGCGCCCCCUGUCUCGUGGGCCCCUCGGGCAUCCACCGACGUACUUCUUCCUCCUAUAUAAGCCUACAUGCCCCGAAAACAUCCAGGGAGCAACCAAAACACAAUUUCCACCAACGUAACCUUCUGUAUCCGCGAGAUCCCAUCUUGGAGCCGUCGCCGGUGUUCUGCCGGAGGGGGAUUCCACCACGGAGGGCUUCUACAUCAACACCAUAGCCCUUCCGAUGAGUUGUGAGUAGUUUACCACAGACCUUCGGGUCCAUAGUUAUUAGCUUGUUGGCUUCUUUUCUCUUUUUGGAUCUCAAUACAAUGUUCUCCCCCUCUCUUGUGGAGAUCUAUUCGAUGUAAUCUCUUUUUGUGGUGUGCUUGUCGAGAUCCGAUGAAUUGUGGGUUUAUGAUCAUAUUUAUCUAUGGAUAAUAAUUGAAACUUCUCUGAAUUCUUUUAUAUGAUUGAGUUAUCUUUGCAAGUCUCUUCGAAUUAUCGGUUUGGUUUGGCCUACUAGAUUGAUCUUUCUAGCCAUGGAAGAAGUGCUUAGCUUUCGGUUCAAUCUUGCGGUGUUCUUACCCAGUGACAGAAAGGGUUGCAAGACACAUAUUGUAUUGUUGCCAUCGAGGAUAAAAAGAUGGGGUUUAUAUCAUAUUGCUUGAGUUUAUCCCUCUACAUCAUGUCAUCUUGCUUAAUGCAUUACUCUGUUCUUAUGAACUUAAUACUCUAGAUGCAUGCUGGAUAGCGGUCGAUGUGUGGAGUAAUAGUAGUAGAUGCAGGCAGGAGUCGGUCUACUUGUUGCGGACGUGAUGCCUAUAUACAUGAUCAUGCCUAGAUAACGUCAUAAUUAUUCGCUUUUCUAUCAAUUGCUCGACAGUAAUUUGUUCACCCACCAUAAUACUUAUGCUCUUGAGAGAAGCCACUAGUGAAACCUAUGGGCCCCGGGUCUAUGUCUUAUCAUAUUUGCUUCCAAUCUACUUUUAUUUGCAUCUUUAUUUUCUGCAUCUAUAUUAUAAAAUACCAAAAAUAUAUUUAUCUUGUCUUUUUAUCUCUAUUAGAUCUCACUUUCGCAAGUGGCCGUGAAGGGAUUGACAACCCCUUUGUCGCGUUGGUUGCGAGUUCUUUGUUUGUUUGUGUAGGUUCGUGGGACUUGUUGAGAAGCCUCAUACUGGAUUGAUACCUUGGUUCUCAAAAACUGAGAGAAAUACUUACGCUACUGUGCUGCAUCACCCUUUCCUCUUCAAGGAAAACCAACGCAAGCUCAAGACGUAGCAAGAAGGAUUUCUGGCGCUGUUGCCGGGGAGGUCUUCGCUCAAGUCAAGACAUACCAAGUACCCAUCACAAACUCAUCUCCCUAGCAUUUACAUUAUUUGCCAUUUGCCUCUCGUUUUCCUCUCCCCCACUUCACCUUUGCCGUUUUAUUCGCCCUCUCUUUUCCAAUCUCCUCUCUUUUCUGUUUGCCGUUUUCUGUUUGCUCGUGUGUUGGAUCGUUUACAUUGUCGUUAUGGCUAGCUCUGUUUUUAUCCCUUCAUCUCCCGACUUUCAAGUUCUUCACUUCAAACAAAGACAAGGAGAAAAUUUAAAAGAUGCUUGGUUCAGGAUGUUAGAAUCCUAUCGUAGUUGCACUAUUGAAGGAGAUUUCAAGAUUUUAAUUCGCAAUUUUUAUGUUGGGUUAACUCUACCCCAUAGACAACUCCUUGAUUUUACCGCAAAAGGGUGUUUUAUUGAAGUUGAUCCUAGUUUUGCGUAUGAAAUUAUAGAAGGGAUAGUAUGAGUACUUCCCCUACAAAAAGGAUCACCCUUCUCUCAUGAAGGAACUCAAAUUUUAGAGAAACUAUGUGAAUUACAAAAAUUUGUUGAACCACUUAAGAAUAUUGGUGGAAAUAUCAACCACAUGAAUAACUUGAUUGCACUUUGUAGUAAGCGGUUGGAUGCCUUAGAUCAAAAGAUCUCCGAGCAUGAAGGGAAACGCAAGGAGCCUCCCGGAUCCGAGCAUAACCCUAUUAAAAAGUCAAGUGCCAAAGAUGGCACUACUUAGAUCUAUCUUCGCUUUUAUGCCUACCUAGGGGCGUUAAACGAUAGCGCUAGUUGGGAGGCAACCCAAUUUUCUUUAUGUUUUUUGUUUUUGUUCCUGUUUAGUGUUAAAUUUUGUUUCUACUUUCUGUUUAUAUGUGUUUUCAUGUUUUAUUUAGUGUUUGUGCCAUGUAGAACCUAUAUGAUAACCUAUGAUAUGAGUUGAUUUGAUUCUGCUGAAAAACAGAAACUUUGCGCUCACUAGAAAAAAGUCAAUAAAUCACAGGUACGAGCUUUUGCAUUGAUUAUUUUUGCUUCUGUUCAAAAAACUAAUUUUUUAGGACGUCCUAUUUUGGUAGGAUUUUUGAGGUUCCAAAAGUUUGCGUUAGUUACAAAUUGCUACAGACUGUUCUGUUUUUGACAGAUUCUAUUUUUCGUGUGUUGUUUUCUUUUUUUGAUGCAUCUAUGGCUAGUAUGUAAGAGUAUGAACCAUAGAUAACUUGGAAUACAGUAGGUUUAACACCAAAAUAAAUAAAUAAUGAGUUCAUUACAGUACCUUAUGUGGUUUUGUUUUCUUUCAUGAACGGAGCUUCUAAGAUUUCCUGUUGAGUUUUGUGUUGUGAAGUUUUCAAGUUUUGGGUAAAGCUUUUAUGGACUAUGGAAUAAAGGGUGGCAAAGAGCCUAAGCUUGGGGAUGCCCAAGGCACCCCAAGAUAUUCAAGAAUAGCCAAAAGCCUAAGCUUGGGGAUGCCCCGGGAAGGCAUCCCCUCUUUCGUCUUCGUUCAUUGGUAACUUUACUUGGAGCUAUAUUUUUAUUCGCCACAUGAUAUGUGUUUUGCUUGGAGCAUCGUGUAUUAUAUUAGUCUUUGUUUUUUAGUUUACCACAAUCAUCCUUGCUGUACACACCUUUUGGGAGAAGCCUAUUUGAGAUUUUUAUUCGCCACAUGAUAUGUGUUUUGCUUGGAGCGUCGUGUAUUAUAUUAGUCUUUGCUUUUUAGUUUACCACAAUCAUCCUUGCUGUACACACCUUUUGGGAGAAGCCUAUUCGAUUAAGAUUUGAUAGAAUACUCUAUGUGCUUCACUUAUAUCUUUUUGAGUUUGAUAGUUUUGGCUCUAGUGCUUCACUUAUAUCUUUUAGAGCAUGGAGGUGGAUUAAUUUUGAAGAAAUUGCUAGUCUCUCAUGCUUCACUUAUAUUAUUUUGAGAGUCUUUUAGAACAGCAUGGUAUUUGCUAUGGUUACAAAGUUGGUCCUAGAAUGAUGAGCAUCCAAGUUGGGUAUAAUAAAAACUAUCAUAGAAAGUGAAUUGGAUGCUAGGAUCAAUUUGAUGCUUGAUAAUUGUUUUGAGAUAUAAAGGUAGUAAUGUUAGGGUCAUGCUAGUGGAUAAUUAUGAAAUUGAGAAACACUUUUGUUGAAGUUGGCAAGUCCCGUAGCAUGCACGUAUAGUAAAAGUUGUGUGACAAAUUUGUUGCAUGAGGUGCUCUUUUGAUUGUCUUCCUUAUGAGUGGCAGUCGGGGACGAGCGAUGGAUUUUUCCUACCAAUCUAUCCCUCUUGGGGCAUGCGUAGUAGCACUUUGCUUCAAGGGCUAAGUAGAUUUUUGCAAUAAGUAUAUGAGUUCUUUAUGACUAAUGUGAGUCCAUGGAUAUACGCACACUCAUCCUUCCACUUUGCUAGCUUUUCUUAUUACCGCGCAACUUUCGCCGGUAUCAUGUACCCAUUAUUUACCUUCCUCAAAACAGCCACCAUACCUACCUAUUAUGGCAUUUCCAUAGUCAUUCCGAGAUAUAUUGCCAUGCAACUUUCCACCAUUCCGUUGAUUAUGACACGUUUCAUCAUUGUCAUAUUGCUCUUUGCAUGAUCAUGUAGUUGACAUCGUAUUUGUGGCAAGGCCACCUUCAUAAUUUUCAUACAUGUCACUCUUGAUUCAUUGCAUAUCCCGGUACACCGCCGGAGGCAUUCAGAUAGAGUCAUAUCUUGUUCUAGCUUUGAGUUGUAAAUCCAUAAAAGUGUGAUGAUCUUCAUUAUUAGAGCAUUGUUCCGGUGAGGAAAGGAUGAUGAGGACUAUGAUUACCCCACAAGUCGGGAUGAGACUUCGGACUUUAUAAAAAUAAAAGAGGCCAAAGAAGCCCACCAAAAAGAAAAAGAAGAAAGAAAAAAAGAAAAAAAGAAAAAAAAGAAAAAAAGAGAAAAAGAAAAAAAUAAAAUUAGAGAAAAAGAGACAAGGGACAAUUGCUACUAUCUCUUUUUCCACACUUGUGCUUCAAAAAUAGCACCAUGAUCUUCAUGAUAGAGAGUCUCAUAUGUUGUCACUUUCAUAUACUAGUGGGAAUUUUUCAUUAUAGAACUUGGAUUGUAUAUUCCAAUGAUGGGCUUCCUCAAAAUGCCCUAGGUCUUCGUGAGCAAGCAAGUUGGAUGCAAACCCACUUAGUUUCUUUUGUUGAGCUUUCAUAUAUUUAUAGCUCUAGUGCAUCCGUUGCAUGACAAUCCCUACUCACUCACAUUGAUAUCUAUUGAUGGGCAUCUCCAUAGCUCAUGGAUACGCCUAGUUAAUGUGAGACUAUCUUCUCCCUCUUUUUGUCCUUACAACCACCACAAUAGGCCACCAUAGUGCUAUGUCCAUGGCUUGCGCUCAUGUAUUGCAUAAGAGUUGAAAAAAACUGAAGCGCGUUAAAAAGUAUUAACCAAUUGCUCGGCUCGUCAUCAGGGUUGUACAUGAUGGGAGUAUUUUGUGUAAUGGAAAUGAAGCAUGGCCUAACUAUAUGAUUUUGUAGGGAUAAGAUUUCUUUGGCUAUGCUAUUUUGAUAGGACAUGAUUAUUUGUUAGUAUGCUUUGAAGCAUUAUUAUUUUUAUGUUUUAUAAGCUUUUAUCUUGAAUCAUUUGGAUCAGAACAUUCAUGCCACAAUAAAGAAAAUUACAUUGAGAAUUAUGCUAGGUAGCAUUCUACAUCAAAAAUUUCUUUUUUAUCAUUUACCUACUCGAGGACGAGUAGGAAUUAAGCUUGGGGAUGCUUGAUACGUCUGCAAUGUAUCUAUAAUUUUCAUUGUUCCAUGCUAUUAUAUUACUUGUUUUGGAUGUUUAUGGGCUUUAUUUUACACAUUUAUAUCAUUUUUGGGACUAACCUACUAACCGGAGGCCCAGCCCGUAUUGCUGUUUUUUUGCCUAUUUCGGUAUUUCGAAGAAAAGGAAUACCAAAUGGAGUCCAAACGGAAUGAAACCUUCAGGAGCGUGAUUUUUGGAACGAACGUGAUCCAGAGAACUUGGAGUGCAAGUCAAGAAGCAGCCGAAGCUUCCACGAGAUAGGAGGGCGCCCCCUAUAGGGUGCACCCCCUAUCUCGUGGGCCCCUCGGGCGUCCACCGACGUACUUCUUCCUCCUAUAUAAGCCUACAUGCCCCGAAAACAUCUAGGGAGCAACCAAAACACAAUUUCCACCACCUUAACCUUCUGUAUCCGCGAGAUCCCAUCUUGGAGCCGUCGCCAGCGUUUUGCCGGAGGGGGAUUCCACCACGGAGGGCUUCUACAUCAACACCAUAGCCCUUCCGAUGAGUUGUGAGUAGUUUACCACAGACCUUCGGGUCCAUAGUUAUUAGCUAGUUGGCUUAUUUUAUCUUUUUGGAUCUCAAUACAAUGUUCUCCCCCUCUCUUGUGGAGAUCUAUUCGAUGUAAUCUCCUUUUGCGGUGUGUUUGUCGAGAUCCGAUGAAUUGUGGGUUUAUGAUCAGAUUUAUCUAUGGAUAAUAAUUGAAACUUCUCUGAAUUCUUUUAUAUGAUUGAGUUAUCUUUGCAAGUCUCUUAGAAUUAUUGGUUUGGUUUGGCCUACUAGAUUGAUCUUUCUUGCCAUGGGAGAAGUGCUUAGCUUUGGGUUCAAUCUUGCGGUGUUCUUACCCAGUGAAAGAAAGGGUUGCAAGACAUGUAUUGUAUUGUUGCCAUCGAGGAUAAAAAGAUGGGGUUUAUAUCAUAUUGCUUGAGUUUAUCCCUCGACAUCAUGUCAUCUUGCUUAAUGCAUUACUCUAUUCUUAUGAACUUAAUACUCUAGAUACAUGCUGGAUAGCGGUCGAUGUGUGGAGUAAUAGUAGUAGAUGCAGGCAGGAGUCGGUCUACUUGUUGCGGACGUGUUGCCUAUAUACAUGAUCAUGCCUAGAUGUCAUAAUUAUUCGCUUUUCUAUCAAUUGCUCGAAAGUAAUUUGUUCACCCACCGUAAUACUUAUGCUCUUGAGAGAAGCCACUAGUGAAACCCAUGGCCCCCGGGUCUAUCUCUUAUCAUAUUUGCUUGCAAUCUACUUUUAUUUGCAUCUUUAUUUUCUCCAUCUAUAUUAUAAAAUACCAAAAAUAUAUUUAUCUUAUCUUUUUAUCUCUAUUAGAUCUCACUUUCGCAAGUGGCCGUGAAGGGAUUGACAACCCCUUUGUCGCGUUGGUUGCGAGUUCUUUGUUUGUUUGUGUAGGUUCGUGGGACUUGUUGAGAAGCCUCCUACUGGAUUGAUGCCUUGGUUCUCAAAAACUGAGGGAAAUACUUAUGCUACUGUGUUGCAUCACCCUUUCCUCUUCAAGGAAAACCAACGCAAGCUCAAGACGUAGCAAUCUCUGCUCCUCGGGAGCUAGCCUGAGGAGGCCGAUCCCCUUAGAGGUCUUGGCGUCGUCCGCCUCGUGAAGCUUGGCCCCUCGCGAGGGUCUUGAGUUUGUUGAUGCUGAAGCUGGGCCGUACCAGGCCGUCGAUGGAGCCAUGCAGUGGGCCGCGGGUAGGUAAGUCUAGGUACCCCCGUAUCCAGAACACCGACAGUAGCCCCCGGGCCCAAGGCGCGCUCUGACUUGGCUUCUAGGCGAAGCCAAGGGGCAAGUGCGGAGCGCCACGGGCCCUGUUUGGGAUAUAACUACUGAGUAUAAACCGCCCAGGAGGGGCCGGUUCACCAUCAACUAUAUUGAAGCCCAUGAAGACCCAGAAGAUGGCGCUUACUAAUGAAGCUUAGAGGCCCGGAGCCCAAAGGCGGAUUAGGGCCCAUAGUGGUAAACCGCCAUAGUCAUGUAACUUGUGUUGUAAGUUAGAAAGGAGAGACCGAGCCGGACACUUGUAUGAGCCGGCCUCGGGACUCUGUAAACCGGCCAGGUGUCAACCCGUGUAUAUAAUGGGACGACCCAGCGGCGGUUCAGAGACAAGAAACAACAACUCGAGAGCCAGGCAUAACGUGUUUUGCUCCCUGGCUAUUGAGACCCCAAUAAUCCCAACACAACUAGAUGUAGGUUUUCACCUUCAUCAAAGGGGUUGAACUAGUAUAAAAAUCCUCGUGUCCUUUGUCCGGUUUAACCCCUUUAAGCUAACCCGUCGCGAUGGCUCCACGACUAAGUCCUUUCACGAGGACAUCUGACGUGAUAUUUCCACGACAAUUGGCGCCCACCGUGGGGCUAUCGCACGAUGGUUUCGAGUUCUUGAAGGGCAACUUUGAAGGACUCAAAGGGUACGCGGUUGGCCGGAUGACCAAGAGUCGUCGCGGCAAGCUCUACAUCGACGACGCAGGGUGGGGCUCCGAGGACGGCUCAAUUGAGUACGGGUACCGGGUCCCCUUUGGUGGAAUUCACGUUUUCAUCAGCAAGAUCGGCGAACCGGGCCCUGAGCCGGACAUCUUCACCGACCUCGUCGAGACGGCUCAGCGUGCAAGCCCCGCUCGGAUUCAGCCCGCCAUGAAACGUGCGUUCGUGGGAUGUGUCCAUGGGAUCGGAUCUGAACCGGUGUCCGAAGGUGAAACGGUCGCUUAUUUCGAUGGCAAAUCAUCCGCCGGUGAAACCGACUCCCUGUACCAAGUUCAUGAUGGCGUGUUCGAAGGUAUUCCGAUGGCACCAGUAUUCCGGAAUUUCUUGAACCGCCAAACCGAGUUGGAAUCUUCAUGGCCGGAACACAGCCAACUUUGCAAAAUUCUAUUGCGGCGGCAUCCGGACCAGCAGCUGUGGCAGGAGGCCCCGCGCGCCGGCCGGCUCAAGUUUUGUUCGGUUUGUUGGAUGCCUGAACAACGUUAUUGGCCACAACAGUUACCCCGGAGACUCAAGAUCGGCACAACGCAGAGGUCGCUAAGUUACGGGAUCAGAUAACUCAGGCCAAAGAGGACCUAGCGGCUAAGGAGACCAGGAUGGCUGAGGAACAGACCGCUUUAGAUGCCCGGGCAAAGAGGAUUCAAUCCGAGAAUUAUCGACUUUUGAUGGAUCAGAACGCAUCGAAUGAAGUAUUCAGGAGGAGACAUGAAUCUCGCUUGCUGGCGGAUUACAAUGCGAUGAAUCUCUUCAAUACGCCAGGGGUAGGGGCCAGCAACCCGGCAGGAGUAAACCGGAAUGUCGUGCCAAGGACCGGAGCGCCGGAUCAACCUCAGAUGAUGGGUCCACCUCGACGGACAGACAACCCUCCGCGGUAUACCACACCCCUGCCGGGUCACUUCUCUACCCCUUUGGAUAAUAUGAUAGCAGUAGCAUCCCGGCUGGCAGCUAUUCCGAUGGAGGGUGAAUCGCCAGCGGCGGUUGAGACACGGCGGGCCAGGGAUCUUCUUCAAACUGCUACGGCGCAGCAGCAGGCUUACUCGUAUAGCCGAGACAGGAUUCACACGACCCCACGUCCGAGCAAAAGCUAUAGCAGGCAUAUAGAUGAACCGGAGGUGUCCAGUAGUGCGUGGCGCCGUAUUGUCCCUCAAGGACCUAAUCCGGCGCAUGGUGAGGUGAGCGCUCGGGACAUGGUGGAUAAUGGCAGAGCAUGAAGGGAGGCCGCUUUAGCAGCACAAUAUGCGGGUCAUUAUCAACCCGCCCCGGUUCAGCCAGCAGCGUCAGUAGACCGAGGCACCGGGCUUGCCUUCAGUUCCUGGGGAGUACCGUGUCUCAUUCCGGCUCUCCGUAAUGUGAGGCUGCCUAAAGAUUUCAAGGGUCCAUGUAAGGUGCCUAAUUACACCGAUGAUCAACCACCCGAGGCAUGGGUGGAAAGUUAUGAGAUGGCAAUGGAGAUGCUGGAUGUGGAUGAAGUGGCUUGUGCAAAGUACUUCACGAUGAUGUUGGAGGGAACCACCCGUACAUGGUUGAAGAACCUACCAGCUAACUCCAUCGAGUCAUGGGACCAAUUGAAGGCCCGGUUUAUAGCAAAUUUCAAGGAUACAUGUAAACAACCUAUGUCCAUUGUGGAUCUGGAUGCCUGUGUUCAAGGAGAGAACGAGUCCACAACUCAUUGGGUGCGCCGGGUUUCAGAAGUUUUGCACUCGUCAGACCGCAUUAACACUGGCCAAGCAAUCAUAACAUUGGAGCGUAAUUGCCGGUUUAAGUCACUGAAGAUGAAGUUGGGACGGCUUAAGCGCCACUGCAAUGACAUGGGAACACUUAUGGCAGCCUUGGUUAAGUAUGCCGAUUCUGAUAAUACCAAGGAUACCAAUUCUGAUGAGGAGAAACCGGAGAAGGGAAAGAAGAACGGCGGUGCAAAGGGACAGCAGCCCAACCAAGGGGGCCAUGGGAAUAACGGUAAGCGCAAAGCAGAUAAUUCAGAUUUUGUGGCUAACGCUAAUGUGCAGCGUCGUAAAGGUAAACCGCCCCAGUGCGGUGGUGGGAUGAAUCUGUUGCGUUUGUUAAACCAGCCCUGCCCAAAGCACGGGACCAAGGAGGUUAUAGCAACACAUCUUUGGAAAGAUUGUCACAUUAUGAAGGAGUUCAAAAACUCUGAUCUCUUUCGGUACGAUCAGGGUCCAUCGGGCGGUUCAGGUCCAGGUUUUCAUGGUGGCGGCGGUUCAAAUUCUGGAUUUCAGAAUAAUCAGGGCAACCAAAACAACUAGGGUGGUAAUAACCAACAGAAUAAUCAAGGGAAUCAGCAACAGUCAGGUUAUCAGAGUCACCCAAAGCAGUUGAAUGGUGGGCAGUAUCAUGUGUUCACCUCUAGUUUGUGCAAACGUGAUCAGAAGCUUCACAAGAGAGCAGUUAAUGAUGUUGAACCGGCAGUGCCACGUUACUUGCGGUGGUCCGAGCAGCCCAUUGUGUGGAGCAGAGAGGAUCAUCCGCCCCGGGUUGAUAAUCCGGGUCAUCUAGCUUUGGUGGUGGCGCCUCAGGUGGGAGGCUAUAAGUUUACCAAGGUGCUGAUGGAUGGAGGGAGCAGUAUCAACAUCAUGUACUAUGAAACUUUCCGUCGCAUGGGGUUGACAGACAAGAGUCUUAAACCGUCAAACACUAUUUUUCAUGGUGUAGUACCAGGUAAAUCGGCAUAUUCUGUUGGCAAGAUUGCUUUGGAGGUUGUGUUUGGAGAUGAGCACGACUCCCAGUCUGAAACAUUGACCUUUGAAGUGGUGAAGAUCCAGCGCCCGUACCACGCACUGUUUGGACGGCCGGCUUAUGCAAAGUUCAUGGCAAGGCCCUGUUAUAUUUAUUUGCAGCUCAAGAUGCCGGGUCACAAGGGGACCAUCAUAGUUCAUGGAAGUCGUAAGAUCGCUUCGGAUUGCGAGGAAGGUGAUGCGGCCUAUGCUGAGUCGGUUUGUGCUACAAAGGAGUUGAAGUUCUAUAAAGACAAUGUUGAUCCAGCAGAUAUGACCCAUCUGAAGAAGCCCACCACUGAGCAUGACCCGAACCUGAAAUUCAAACCGGCUGAUGAGACUAAACUUGUUGACUUCGUUCCUGGCGAUUCGUCCAAACAGUUUAGCAUCAGCACAAAUCUGGAUCCGAAAUAGGAAAGCGCGCUCAUCGAGUUCAUACGUGAGAACCCGAGACAGUUUUGCAUGGAAGCCUUCUGACAUGCCAGGUGUACCGAGGGAACUCGCUGAGCACACUCUCAAUAUUGAUCCCAAGUUUAAACCGGUCAAGCAAUUUCUUCGCCGCUUUAACAAGGAAAGACGCAAGGCCAUUGGUGAGGAGGUAGCCCGGCUGUUGGCUGCUGGCUUUAUCAUCGAAGUGUUUCACCCUGAGUGGUUGGCUAAUCCGGUGCUGGUUCUUAAGAAAAACAGCACUUGGCGCAUGUGUGUGGACUACACAGAUUUGAACAAAGCUUGUCUGACCGAUCCUUUCGCUCUCCCACGUAUUGAUCAGAUCAUUGAUGCGAUGGCGGGUUGUGAGCGUUUGAGUUUCUUGGAUGCUUAUUUAGGUUAUCAUCAGAUCAAAAUGGCAGUUAAGGACCAGGAGAAGACCGCCUUCAUCACUCCUUUUGGAGCCUUCUGCUAUGUUUCUAUGCCCUUUGGGCUCAAGAGUGCCCAGGCAACUUAUCAGCGCUGUGUGCAAAAUUGUCUUCACACUCAGAUUGGGCGCAAUGUUCAUGCCUAUGUGGAUGACACUGUAGUAAAAUCCAGGAAGAAGGAGACAUUGAUAGAUGAUCUCAAGGAAACCUUUGACAAUAUUCGAGUUUAUAAGAUGAUGCUUAAUCCGUACAAGUGUGUUUUUGGUGUUCCGGCAGGCAAGCUCUUAGAGUUUUUGGUGUCCAACAGAGGCAUUGAAGCUAAUCCAGAAAAGAUCAAAGCGAUUACAUCUUUGGCUAAACCGGCGUGUAUCAAUGAUGUUCAGUGUCUAGCGGGUCGAAUUGCAGCCCUGAGCCGGUUUAUUAGCCGCUUAGGAGAGAAGGUGAUCCCUAUAUAUCAGAUGUUGAAGAAAACAGACACUUUUGUCUGGAGUAAUGCGGCUGAUGCGGCGUUUGAAGACUUGAAGUGGCAAUUGGCUGAACCGCCGGUCCUUGCUGCUCUGGUUGACAAGGAGCCCUUGUUAUUGUACGUGGCUGCAAAUGCCCGUGCUGUCAGUGUGGCAAUUGUGGUUGAGCGCAAGGAGGCUGGAAAGGAAUAUCCGGUUCAACGGCCGGUUUACUAUACCAGCGAAGUGCUUAUCGAGUCAAAGCAACGGUAUCCGCAUUGGCAGAAGCUGGUGUAUGGGUUUUUUAUGGCGAGUCGAAAGCUCAUACAAUACUUUCAAGUCCAUCUCAUUACAGUGGUCAAUUCAGCUCCUUUGGGCGAUAUAAUUCAGAACAGGGAGGCAACUGGCCGGGUUGCAAAGUGGGCAAUUAAGCUUGGUCCACAUGGAUUGAAGUAUAUGCCUCGAACAGCCAUCAAACCUCAGGCGCUUGUUGACUUCAUCAAUGAUUGGACCGAGUUACAGGCACUAGAGGACAAACCGGAUAACACAUACUAGACUAUUCACUUUGAUGGAUCCAGGCAAUUGGAGGGCUCGGGGGCUAGAGUUGUCCUUUCUUCCCCCCGAGGUGAUAAAAUUCGCUAUGUUCUCCGUUUAAUGUUCCCCUGUACUAACAAUGCAGCUGAGUACGAAGCUUUACUCUACGGUCUCCGUGUGGCCAAGGAGAUGAAUUUAAGAUGAGUACGAUGUUUUGGAGACUCUGAUCUGGUGGCCCAGCAAGUUUCUGGCACUUGGGAUUCUAAGGAUCCACUCAUGGUGGCUUACAGACGCGAGGUGGAUAUUGUGGCAGGUCACUUCAAAGGGUAUAAGGUUGAACAUAUUUAUCGGCGCAAAAACGAAGCAGCAGAUGCUUUAAGCCAGCUGGGAUCUCAGCGUAAAUCGGUACCUCCCAAUACCUUUUUAGAUAUCUUGCAUAACUCGUUUGUUAAGUUGCCUACAGAGAAGGAUUUAGCUAUUCCUGAUCCGGAGGCCCAAUUGGUUGCCGCUUUACAUAUUGUUCCGGAUUGGACGGUUCCAUAUUUGGCGUAUAUGAACCAUGGCGAGUUACCAGACGAUGAAGUUCUGGCCCGGCAGAUAGUCCGGCGAUCCAAGUCCAUGGCUAUUCACAAUGGCGAGUUACACCGCUGCAGCGUUUCAGGCGUAUUCCAGCAUAGUGUUUCUCCUGAAGAAGGCCAAGAGAUUCUACGAGAAAUUCAUGAAGGGGAUUGUGGUCACCAUGCCGGUUCAAAGUCCCUGGUUGCUAAAGCUUUUCGUCAUGGGUUCUACUGGUUGAUAGCUCAUGCUGAUGCUGAGGAUCUGGUAAAGCGGUGUGACACUUGUCAGAAGUUUUCACGACGAGCUCAUGUUCCGGCUCAAGAGUUGAGGAUGAUUCCCAUCACUUGGCCGUUUGCCACUUGGGGGCUUGACAUGGUGUGGCCCUUUAAGCGCUCCAAGGAUAAGAAGACCCACCUGUUGGUGGCGGUUGACAAGUUCACUAAAUGGGUUGAAGCGGAGCCCAUCAGCAAGUGUGAUGCAGCUACGUCGGUCAAUUUCUCAAAAAGAUUAUCUUCCGUUUUGGCUUUCCACACAGCAUCAUCACGGAUAAUGGCACAAACCUUUCUAAAGGUGAGAUGGAGGAUUUUUGUCAGAGAAAGCAUAUCCGGCUUGAUUUAGCAUCCGUGGCGCACCCCCAGUCCAAUGGUCAAGCUGAGAGAGCUAAUCAAGAAAUUUUGAAGGGUAUCAAGCCCCAGCUCAUGGUUCCUUUAAAGCGGAUGUCGGGUUGUUGGGUGGAAGAAUUGCCUUCUGUGUUAUGGAGCAUCAACACCACCCCCAAUAGAUCAACAGGUUACACACCUUUCUUCAUGGUUUACGGGGCAGAGGCGGUCCUCCCAAGUGAUAUUCGUCAUGAUUCGCCCCGGGUUGCCAAUUAUGUUGAAGCGGACAAUGAGCAAGCACGCCAGGAGGCGUUGGACCUGUUAGAUGAAAAACGGGACAUGGCUUUGGCUCGUUCAGCGGUUUAUCAGCAAGACCUGCGGCAUUAUCGCAGCCAUCGGGUUAAAACAAGAACCUUUCAAGAAGGCGACUUGGUGCUCCGGCUCAUCUAGGAUCAGACCGAUAUGCACAAGUUAUCCCCGCCUUGGGAAGGACCCUUUGUGGUCAGCAAGAAUCUGCACAACGGAUCAUACUACCUCAUUGACGUUCAAGACAACUCACGCAGUUCUAAGGAGGAGACCCGGCGGCCGUGGAACAUAGCUCUCCUUCGGCCUUACUAUACUUGAGCCAUAGGCUUCUCUUAUGUACAUAUUUUGACAAUGUACAUAUUAUGACCAAUAUAAUAAACCGGCAUCCUUGCUAUAAGCAGGGCCUCUGCUAUUUUUUCUCAAAUAUAUUUUGAGUUACAUGGGGCUUCAGCUGGCAAAGCGGAGUACUACAUGUUAAACCGGCUAUCAUGCCACAAUACAGCUUGGGAGCUUCACACCCAAGGGCCCAAAGAGAGCUGGAUGCUAUGCACAGCUCAAACAUAGGCACCCAAUGAGCACAGCUCACAAAGUUACUUGGGGGCUCUUUGUGUAAAGUAACAAAGAGUUUGAAAGGACCCUUGUAAUUGGGUAUAGACCCAUGGCUUGGAAGCCUGGUGUAUUCACCUAAAACCUCGGGUUAACCUGCCUUCAUCAAGUAAGCCACUCCUAUCCAGGUAAUCCUGGCACAACCCGCCGAACGUUUGACAAGUCAAUCUUAUACAGACCCUGAAAUUGUCAAAGUUAAAACGACGAUUGGUUAGUUGGAGGUCCAUCUUAAAAGGCUUUGCAAAAUGGUUUAACUCAGUGGCCUGGCAGCCCAUGAAAAUCCUCGUAUUUGGGCCUGGCAGCCCUCGAAAAGCCUCGACUACACGGUUUUAUUUGCCUUUGUCAAGAUUUUUCUCUUUGGAUGAAUUUUAUGUUAAACCGGUGUCUCUUGACCCGGUAUGGCUUUUGAGUCAUCAUACUAACCCGGUGUUUGUUAACCCGGCUUGGCUUUCAACUACAAGUUGUCAGGCCAUCUUAUCAAUCCGGUGUUUAAAAACCCGGCCUGGCUUUGACUAUAUGUCGCCAGUUUGAUCAUCUGGUGUUCAUCAUAACCCGACAUGACUUAUUACACACCAGCACUACAUGGUGGGAGUUAUCAAUACUCACGAUUUGGGUCUUCACCCUUACUACAACUGAAGUUGGUAAACCAACUAAGUGAUUUCAUAUCAACAGGUAUGAUCUAUUAUAUUUAUUCAGCUCUGGUUAUCAGCCAAGCUUUAUCUUGGGCAUUAUGACCCGUCCGGCGGUAAAUCGCCAGGACAAUUCUUUUUAUGCAGAUAUCAGAAUCGCAUGAAAAUAAUCAAAGUGUAAUCAAGCACAGCAAAUAUCAUGGCGGAUUAACAACGUCAUGCAUCAUUGCCACAGAGCAAAGUAUUUUAACUAGCCUAUUACAAGGCGCUUUGAGGCCCAAAAUAAUGAUUGUUUUUACACAGAACAAAGUCUGUGACAAUAAACAUAUCACCGGAUCAAGACUCAUCACCAGGUUGACGUGCUGUUGACGGAUCCUCAGGCGUCGGUUCAACCUCCACCUCCCCACCCAGUGGCUGGAAGUCAACAGUGGUCCAUUCAAUCCGGGUUAAAGCUUCAAAGACAGCCUCGUCACUUAUCAGAUUGGACGGUUCAAUAUCAGGGGCAUAAGUGUGCUUAUGAAUUGGCAGAAUAAGAUUCUGCACUUCCUUCACAGCAGUGUCAACUCGAUGGUUGUUGGCAUCAUAGAAGGACCGAUGCGAAGUCAAAUUCACCUCGUCAGCCAACUGACUUGCUACCGGACGCAUCUCCUUGGUCAAGGCCUUGAGGGCUUCAUUAUCGAAUGCUGAUCCGUUUUCUUGUUCAUCCGGAUAGCCCUUGGUGAUGUCAACUGGAUCCAGGUCAGCUAUCCAUGAUUUGGCACGAGUCAGUGCUAGCAAAGCGCCCGCUCUGGCAGCCGAUCGCUUCACCUCCUCUAUCUGAGAAGGAGUCAUUGAGAGCCUGGCCAAAGUAUCCUUGAUUAAGGUGGCUGCCGGUUUGUUGUACGAAGCUGCAGAGAUGACUUGUUGUGCACCAGUAUACAAUUGCUCAAUCAAUGUGUAUGCUGCCUUCAACUUCAUCCGCAUGUCUGCGCCUAGAUGAGCAAUGCGAUUACCUGAAACGGUUUUUGAAACUUAAAUGUUAAACUGGCAGAGUUGAAGAUACUUCAGAACAUGAUAUUAUAAAGCACUUACCAAAAACUGCAGCUGUCAUGGCAUUCACUUGAUGCUUCAACCCAGUCAGCUCUUCCUCAACCGGUUUAAGAGCUGCUUCGGCGUCUUCAGCCCGCUUCAACAUAGCAGCCUUUUCGGUUUCCCAGUUGGUGCGUUCAGUUUUGAAGCCAUCCUUCAAUUGUUCCAUGGCCGUCAAAGCGCACUUUAGCUCCUCUUUGGCUUUAGAGGUUUCUUCCUGCUGGGACUUGAUGUUUUCUUGAAGAUCGGCGAUUUGAGACUCUUUGGUAUUUAUGUCAGCCUACAAAGUCAGAUGAUAAAGCAGUUAAUAUCUCUUAAAGUCCCAAGUGCAUAACAAGUUAUACACUUGGCACUUGGGGGCUAAUGCGGAUUGCUUCUUAAACUAGAUAUUUUAAAGUCCCAAGGUUCAAUACAAGUAUUAAACUUGGCACUUGGGGGCUAAUGCCUCAUUGAUCAGUUAAAUGACAAACUAAAGGCAGUUGAUAAAGACAAAGUGUUAACAAAAAGUCCCGGUUCAUCUUCAUAAGGUAAACCGGCCCUUGGGGGCUACUUAGUUGAAGUAUUCUUAAUAUUAGAAGACCCGGUUUGUCUACAACAGAUAAACCGGCCCUUGGGGGCUACUAUGGAGUUGAUAUAUGUUGCAAGCAAAUUUAAAGUGUUUUGAAGAUUACCUCAUAGCGCUCCUUCAUUAAGUUCACCAAACCGGCCUCAUAAUCCCGGCUUGUGAAGAGGCAGCUCAAGAAUCCGAAAUGAAGUUCAUCGGCGUUAAGGUUAGCGAAGCUGGACAAAUCUGUCUUCCCUUUCCCCUUGCCCAUAGCUACAAAUUCCUCCUUGGCAGUGUGCUUUGACAAAACAACUGGGUUGCCAGGGGCAGUGAAACCAUGACCAGUGAUAACAACAUCAUCAUCGCCACCUUUUGAGGGGGUUGGCGGAUUGACAGUAUUCCUGGUCGGGUUUGACACAUGGUCGCCCUUGGCUGGACUUGGAGGAUCAGCAUGCGGACUGGACGGAUUGACUUCUGGCGCUUCAACAUAUGUAUCCUGACUUUGAGGUACACGGUCAUCAAUGGCAAUAUCAGUUUCUUUGUCAGCACCUUCUGAAAUUCUGUCCGGUUCAACUUCUUUAGUAGGGACAGUGAUCUUUGCUUUCUUGCUCAGACGAGCUUUGGCACUGUGAUAUUAAAACAAGAGGUCAGUUGGUAAACCGGUGCAAGAAGACAAAGUUAAAGAUAGUAUCCUUACCCAGGGACGGUCUUGAUGGGAGGCAUCUGAGUGGUGGACGAACUGCUAGAUGAAGAAUUGGAAGACACCUGGUAAUUCGAGUCAGACGGAUUAAGAGGGUCACGGAAGCAAACCUUCAAGGGAUAAAGACUUUCGGGAGAACAAGAAACCUCUGGACGACGCUUCCGGUUUGGUGUAUCCAGUAAACCGGAAGAAGUGACCUGUUGGCCGCUGUGCCGAGUUGUGCGACGACCUUCACCUUGCUGUGUCUUCAAAGAAAAUUGUGGAUCCAAAUGAGCAAGAGGGUGAGAGCAUUUUACUUUUCAAAUGGCACGGCGAAAUCUUUGAACCGGCACAAGUUCUGAAUCGGAAGAAAGGAUGAUUACCUCAACAUGGUCCGCACGACUGGCUUCCGCAUCAUCCUGGUAAUAAUCAUUGUCAAUAAGCUGUAUGAAAAAUGAGCCAAGGGAGUCAAGUUCUACCCCUGGGUCCGACUCAUCAACAUCUUCAGGCGGAUCAGAAGACUCGGCGGUUUUCUUCUUAGCCGCUCUCUUUACGACUUUGCUUUUCGGGCGUUGAGUCCUCACCGGUUUGUCUGAAGGUUUUCUCUUCCAGAAAGAGUUGUUGGCCUGUAAAAACAAAAAAGGCUUAUCAGAAUAAAAGUUAAAGCGGAAACGGGUCAAUAAGGGUGGAAAAGGAUGAAAUUCUUACUGCUGGCGGUUUGUUGGAAGUACAAAAAGGAGCCAAUCCGGUCUUGUUGCACUGAGCGAUUAGUUCAUCCAACAUUUUCUUCACGGCUUCAGUAACUUCCUCGUCAGUCUUUUCUAUCUCAUUGGACCGGUGAGGGUCUUUUAUGUCUCCAGUAUACUCAUACAUCAAACUGGAGCGGCGGCUUAAGGAAAGGAUACCCCAUGAAACCUAGCAUCGAACAAGGUCAAUGUCGGUUAAACCGUUCGCUGGGAGGGCCCGGAGCUUAAUGAUUUGCGGUGCAUAAACUUGCCGCUCUUUAGCAGUGAGCCGUGGAGGCAGUGGAUGGCUAUUGCUAAGACGCUGAGCACGGUAACCCGACAGAGGGUUUUCAUCAGCAGGUGCAGUGUUCAGACAGUAAAACCAGGUUUGAUUACAGUCCUUUGGAUGGCUGUGGUGUUUUGCAUGAGGGAAGUCAACUUCUUUCCUUUUCUGAAUUGAUACGCCGCCAAGUUCAGUGUUGGGGCCGUCAGAGAAUUCGGUCCGGCGGUUUAAGUGGAAAAGUCUCUGAAGAGAUCAACAGUUGGUUCCUCUUGAAGAUAAACUUUGCAGAACACUUGAAAAUUGCAUAUGUUGGACAGAGUUUGGUCUAAUAUCCUGAGGAUGGAGUUGAAAACUAGCAAGCACAUCCCAGAAAAACUUUGAACCGGGCGGGCUAAAACACCGGUCUAGGUGCUGCAUGAACACAAUCACUUCCCCGGCUUGUGGUACUGGAGGACACUCAGGGCCAGGAACUCGCCAGUGGAGGACAUCUUUCUUGGCCAAAGCGCCAGUUAAUACAUAUCCAUUGAGCUGCGUUUCGGUGAUCCGGGAAGGAACCCGGUUGCAUGCGGCGGAUUGCUCGGUCAUAUUGGAAAGGAAACUGAAAAAAGCACGAAGGCCGGUUUACGAUUCAAAGUUGAUGUAUACCAACCAGAGUUAAACCGGGUAAUUAAGCAUGUUAAACCGGCUAUUGCUACUCAAGUUAAAUGGUGGUUUAAGUGAGGGCUAAUGGUACCAGGCGGAUUAUGAUUUUCUACAACUUAAACCGCCUAUGAGGGAAGCAACAGAGAUGAAAUUCACUAAGUGUUGCAGAAAACAGGUUUCACACAAUGAUGAAAUUAUUUCGGAUCUACCAUGCUUCAGCAAAGAAAAAUUUCUGCGACCUAUAAAGGCAUUAAGCAGAACAGAGAAGUUCGUGCAUUUUACUGAGGAUUCUUUACAAAGAAGGAAGAUCUACUAGUGCCGAAAAUGGAUGCGGAGCAACUACCGCACGAGAUCUACGCUACUGUUGGAUCAAAGAAACCACGGCAGAAGCAAAUGCGAAGAACUGAGAUGAACGAGGAACUGUAGAGAUGAACUCGCUAACCCUAGCAUGGAUCUAAAGAUGCGGAAAAGGGAAAACUUACAUCGGUGGAUCUGUUGCCGAGGGGCACCGCUGUUAUCUGGAGCUUUUCAGGUUGAUGCAGCGGCCUGAUCGGUGCAGAGAUGAAGGUCGACGGUGGCGGUGGCGCUUGAGUUCGUCGGGUCGCGAGAGGAAGAAGAAGAGGCAAGGGGAGAGAAUGGAAACACCCGCCGGCUUUAUUUAUAAGGAGAAAGGGAUAAGUGGUAGGCGUGAAAAUCGAGGAGCCUGAAGCGGCAACAAAGGGCGCGCAUGUCGCCUCAAUCUUCGGGAUACCAUUAAUGAAGAGAAUCUUUUUAACCUUUUUAUACAGAGAUGACGUCAUGAUGAUCCGUUGCUGUGUCCAGAGGAUGACGUCACGGCGGUUUAACAAAGUUCACAGAAGAAGACAUCAUGGCGGUUUACAAAAAGUGUCAGAAGAUGUUCAACAGGGUUUUUCUAAGUAUUGAAGAUUGACAUGAAUAGGUUCAAAUCAAUCUGGGGCCUAAUGUUGGGGAUAUAACUACUGAGUAUAAACCGCCCAGGAGGGGCUGGUUCACCAUCAACUAUAUUGAAGCCCAUGAAGACCCAGAAGAUGGCGCUUACUAAUUUAGCUUAGAGGCCCGGAGCCCAAAGGCGGAUUAGGGCUCAUAGUGGUAAACCGCCAUAGUCAUGUAACUUGUAUUGUAAGUUAGAAAGGAGAGACCGAGCCGGACACUUGUAUGAGCCGGCCUCGGGACUCUGUAAACCGGCCGAGCGUCAACCCGUGUAUAUAAGGGGACGACCCGGCGGUGGUUCAGGGACAAGAAACAACAACUCGAGAGCCAGGCAUAACGUGUUUUGCUCCCUGGCUAUCGAGACCCCAAUAAUCCCAACACAACUAGACGUAGGCUUUCACCUUCAUCGAAGGGGCCGAACUAGUAUAAAAAUCCUCGUGUCCUUUGUCCGGUUGAACCGCUUUAAGCUAACCCGUCGUGAUGGCUCCACGACUAAGUCCUUUCACGAGGACAUCUGACGUGAUAUUUCCACGACAGGCCCUAACUGCCUACGGCCUCGAAAGAUGUGUGGUGAUUGAUUGCACGUGGGCGUAUCCACUUCCCCAUGCUGCCUCGGCAACCGUUCGACUUGACGGGUCGAUGCUGCAUGCAGAAGAUCAUCAUCGCACGAGGCCGUGGAGCCCGGCAGUUGGCCUCCCUCCGGCUAUAUAUGAGGGGAGGGGCAGAGCCCCCCUCGCUCAUCUCUUCCCCUGUCUUCCCGAUCACCCUUCUUCCUCCUCCUUCUUGCUGUUGCAUACAUGGCACCGAUCAGGAGGUUUUCCGCGGCAGAAAAGGGGAAGGCACCUCAGGAGGGGCCUGAUCCACUUUCUUCGAAGAAGCGGUUCCUGAUACAUCUCCAACGUAUCUAUAAUUUUUGAUUGUUCCAUGCUAUUAUAUUACCUAUUUUGGAUGUUUAAUGGGCUUUACUAUACACUUCUAUAUUAUUUUUUGGACUAACCUAUUAACCGAAGGCGCAGUCCAAAUUGCUAUUUUUUGCCUAUUUCAGUGUUUCGCACAAAAGGAAUAUCAAAUGGAGUCCAAACGGAAUGAAACCUUCGGGAGAGUUAUUUUUGGAACAAACGCAAUCUAGGAGACUUCGAGUGGACGUCAAGAAAGAAAUGAGGCGACCACGAGGAAGGGAGGCGCGCCCCCUGAUGAGGAUACAGACCUGGGAUAGGGUCAUAGACCUGACCUAUACGUCCUACCCAAGGUCACUACCCUAGAAGAUAAGAAGUCCAAGAAGCAACGAAGAACCCCCAGUCAAAGGUGUCUAGUGAAAUCCACUCGACUAAUCAUAUUAAUCGGAUACCCCUCCUACUUGUUGUCACUCGACCAUACAAGGGAUCACUCGACCUACUAAAGAUCACGAGUCGCUCAGCACUGCAACGGUCAGGCGUUCACUCCAUAGUCUUUAAGGUCAUUAAUAGCACUUAAGACUGGCGUUAUCAGUAACGCCCCUACUUUAUGUACAUUAAGCCCCUUGUAAUGGAGGAUGGCUAGGGUCCUGGCGCACUCUAUAUAAGCCACCCCCCUCCUCUUGGACAAGGGUUCGCACCCCCUGUAAUAUCACACACAUAUAAUCCAGUCGACCGCCUCUGGGCACAGAGACGUAGGGCUAUUACUUCCUCCGAGAAGGGCCUGAACUCAUAAAUCUCGUGUGUACACCUUCACCAUAGCUGAGAUUUUGCCUCUCCAUACCUACCCCCCUUUCUACUGUCAGCCUUAGAGCCACGAUAGUUGGCGCCCACCGUGGGGCAGGUGUCUUAGCAACUUGUUGGUGAAGUUGCAAUUUUUCCGAUCUGCAUCAUCAUGGUUUCCGGUGGAGAUUCGGCUGACGGGCGCGACAUCCGUCUCGGUGCACUCAUUUUCAUCGCCGACGACUCCGCUUGGCUUCAAGAAGCUCCCCUUGGCAUUGAGGCGCUCCCCGUCCGAGGGGCGAUGCACUUUCGCGCGUGCAUUCGCGGCGUCCUUCUCCGGCAACCGUCGACUCAGUAUCAGUCGGCUCCAAUGAUGUCGUCUCCCUCCGCUAUUCGCCGCCGCAAGCGAUCUAGUCGGUCGCGGCUCCAGCGAUGGGUAAAACACGUGGUGGCUCAACAUUCGUCCGGCCAUCAAGUUGCGGCAAUCGAGCCCGACGAAACUCUCUACGACCUGUUCGAUCUGUCGACUGGCUCCGUCAAGACCGCAUCUGAGUGCGAUAGCAGCGAUCCUGCGGCUGAAGUCUUGAUGGUCGACGGACCACAUAGUCCACCUGGUUUCCGCUGUGCGAUCCGUCACGCGUCCACGAGGAGUACCAUCCCGAACCCCUCUCUUCACAGCAGAGGGAAGAACUUCGUCGCCGCAACAUGGAUGCACUCCACACACCCAUCAUUGGAGAAACCCCCGAGGCUCGGGCCUUGGAAGCGGUGCGUUUGGCUAAUUUGGCUGAGCACACUCAACUGGAAAACCUCCAGCGUGCUCUCGAUGAGCGUGCUCGAGAAGGGAUUCAUGAGUCCAGUUGACGACAGCUUUUCCCACCUCCACCUAAAGUAUACCGCACCCCGAUUUAAAAUCUCACAACUGCAGCCCGAAUAGCAAAGUCAAUUCAACCUUCCUAGUAAGAGGCUGGCAGAGGUUUGAUGCAGAUCUGGGCCUUGCUCCGGGCAGCAGGAGAGCUCAACACAGCGGUGUCUCAGUCGCGGGCUAGGAUUCAUAGCAGAUCUGUGGUGGCAGAUACUGUCCAGUCGGCCCACAGUCCAAGAUCACCCCUGCGGCGUGAGGGCCAUGGGCAGUAUGAUCACCGACUCGACCGCGACAAUCAUCGUCGGGUGUCCAUGCCUCCCCCGAGGAGUACAUCAUAUGUGCCUCGGCAGUACGAUCACAAACGCCUUCAAAGCGGCGAACAUAGAGCACCAGUCGACCAAAGAGAGCCAGCCUUUGAUGCAAGAUCUAUUCUCGUUUAGGGUUUAGUCGACCGAAACAGAGCGCAGAGGGAAGACCUUGGCAGAGAUCGCCCGACUGGCAACAGGGUUCAUGUUUCAGGCCCAAAGUGUUUCAGCAGAGCCAUCAGGGCCGAAGUGAUUCCCCCCAACUUCAGGUUGGUAACUGGAGUCAGCAAGUUCACUGGGGAGUCCAAGCCUGAAACUUGGCUUGAAGACUACCGAGUGGCUGUGCAUAUUGGUGGCGGGAAUGAUGAAGUGGCAAUGAAGCAUCUCCCUCUGAUGUUGGAAGGAUCGGCUAGAGCAUGGUUGACUCAAUUAGCCCCGAACAGUAUAUACAGUUGGGAAGCACUUGCUCGAGUGUUCGUCAGAACUUUUGAGGGCACUUGCAAGUGGCCAGUGGGGUUGACAGAAUUGCAUCAUUGCAUGUAGAAACCGAGUGCGACUCUGAGGGAUUUCAUCCAGAGGUGGACCACUUUGCAUCACAUAGUGGAGAAUGUAUUUGAACAUCAAGCAGUGUGUGCCUUCAAGGAAGGUGUUAAGUAUCGAGAACUGGUCCUGAAGUUCGGCCGGACUGGGGAUAUGACUCUGACUCGGAUGAUGGAGAUAGCCACCCGGUAUGCGAACGGAGAAGAAGAGGAUCGACUCUGCAGCGGAAAGGGAAAACCAGUCGGCCAGGACACCGGCGGAAGCAAUCGGAAACAAAAACGAAAGGCCGAGCCCGCGGCACCCGGCGAAAUUGUGGUAGUAGCUCAAGGAAAGUUGAAAGGAAAACCUAAGGGACCCUGGAACCCUAAGAAGGUAAAGGACCAAGCAGGAAAUGAUGUGUUGGAUUUGCCGUGCCACAUUCACACGAAGAAGGAUGAAGAGGGUAAUCUGAUUUAUCCUAAACACACCACUCGACAGUGUCGACUCCUGAUCCAGCAGUUCCAAGAGAAUCAACCCAAUGAAAAGGGAAAAGAGUCGAACAUAGACGAGGAUGAAGAAGAAGACGAUGGUUAUCCCAAAGUCAAUUCCACCCUGAUGAUUUUUGCUGAUGUUGAGAGCAAGAGUCGAUUGAAAGUGACCAACAGAGAAGUGAAUAUGGUCGCCCCGGCGACGAUAACUACAUACCUGAAAUGGUCCCAAAAAGCCAUCACGUUCGAUCAGUUUGAUCACCCUGCGCGUAUAGCCACACCUGGGAGGCAAGCGUUAGUGGUCAACCCAGUGGUGGAAGGCACUCGACUGACCAAAGUGCUAAUGGAUGGUGGUAGCGGCCUGAAUAUCCUUUAUGUUGAAACCUUGAAGGGGAUGGGCAUUCCGAUGUCCAAGCUUAGCAAGAGCAAUAUGAGUUUCCAUGGUGUUAUCCCUGGAAAGAAAGCUGAAUCACUCGGCCAGAUUGCCCUUGACAUGGUUGAAGUUGUGGAUUGCCAAAGUGCUUAUCAUGCCAUUCUGGGUAGGCCUGCCUACGCACGUUUUAUGGCUUGACCAUGUUACAUGUAUCUCAAGUUGAAGAUGCCUGGUCCCAGAGGUGUGAUCACAGUUACUGGCAAUCGGCAAAAGGCGGAGGAAUGCUUCCAGAAGGGUUCCAAAAUUGCCGAUGCGCAAAUGGCAGCAAUCAAAUUUCAGGAAUAUCAAAAGAAUGCAGAUCCGAGCGAUUUACUCCGAACUAAGAGACCUGCCACAGAUUCUGCACUUCAGUCAUCCGGUGAAACGAAACCGAUCCAUAUUCACCCGACUGAUUCCAAUGCCGCACCGACUCAUAUCUCAACAACACUCGACAGCAAAUAGGAAGAAGCGCUCAUCCAGUUCCUCCAUGAGAAUUGGGACAUCUUCGCACGGAAACCUUCUGACAUGCCGGGUGUACCCAGGGGACUGGCUGAGCACCGUUUGCGCGUCGAUCCCAAGAUAAAAACUGUCAAAGAGCAUCUUCGGCGGUCCGCCGUGCAGAAGAGAAAGGCAAUUGGCGAGGAAGUGGCUCGGCUCCUAGCAGCAGAGUUCAUUUGAGAGAUCUACCACUCCGAGUGGCUUGCCAAUGUGGUCAUGGUCCCUAAGAAGGACGAUUCACUCUGUAUGUGUAUCAAUUUCAAGCAUAUCAAUCGGGCCUGCCCAAAAGAUCAUUUCCCUCUCCCUCGCAUCGAUAAAAUUGUCGACUCGACUGCAGGGUGCGAGCGCUUGUCUUUUUUAGAUGCAUAUUCCGGGUAUCAUCAGAUCCGACUGUAUGGUCCCGAUGAAAUAAAAACGACUUUCAUCACCCCCGUUCGGGUGCUUUUGCUAUGUCACCAUGCCAUUUGGUCUUAAAAAUGUCGGAUCCACAUUCAUGAGGAUGAUUCAGAAGUGCCUGCUCACUCAGAUCAGUCGGAAUGUGGAACCAUACAUGGAUGACAUUGUGGUCAAGUCACGCAAAGGUUCUGACCUACUGACUGACCUCACAGAAACCUUUUGCCAACCUAAGAAGGUAUGAUAUCAAGCUUAAUCCGUCAAAGUGCACAUUCGGAGUUCUAGGUGGAAAGGUACUCGGUUUCCCUGUUUUCGAACAAGGGAUCGAUGCAAAUCCAGAAAAAAUUGAUACAAUCCUCCGAAUGAAACGCCCUGUGCGUGUGCAUGACGUUCAGAAGCUUACUGGUUGUUUGGUCGCCUUGAGUCGAUUCAUUUCUCGUCUCAGUGAAAAGGCCUUACCUCUUUACCGAUUGAUGAAGAAAUCUGAUAAGUUCGAGUGGACUGAGGAAGCUGAAGCAGCGUUUGCAGAGCUCAAAGCCCUGCUUUCCACCCAGCCGGUGCUUGCUGCGCCAAUCAACAAAGAGCCCUUACUGCUUUAUAUUGCAGCCACUGGACAAGUUGUCAGUAUAGUACUCACGAUCGAGAGGGAAGAAGAAGGAAAGGCUUCCAAAGUUCAACGCCCAGUAUAUUAUCUCUCUGAAGUUUUGACUCCAUCCAAGCAACGAUAUCCACAUUAUCAGAAGCUUGUCUAUGGAAUCUACAUGACCAUGAAGAGGUUGCACACUAUUUCUCUGAUCACUCCAUCACAGUCAUCAGCGACGCACCAUUGUCUGAAAUUCUGAACAAUAGACAUGCAACUGGUCGAGUGGCAAAAUGUGCGAUUGAACUCCUUCCAUUGGAUAUCAAGUUUGAGGCAAAGAAAGCUAUCAAGUCCCAAGCAAUUGCGGAUUUCCUUGCCGGGUGGAUUGAGAAGCAACUGCCCACUCAAGUUCACUCGGAGCAUUGGACCAUGUUCUUCGAUGGCUCCAAGAUGCUGAAUGGUUCCGGUGGUGGGGUAGUAUUGGUAUCCCCCCGUGGGGACAAGCUUAACUAUGUUCUCCAAAUUCAUUUUCACUCUUCCAACAAUGAAGCUGAAUAUGAAGCGCUUUUGUACGGGUUACAUAUGGCCAUUUCACUCGGCGUCCGUCGCCUUAUGGUCUACGGUGACUCGGAUUUGGUGGUCAAUCAAGUGAUGAAAGAAUGGAAUGUCAAGAGCCCAGCCAUGACUGGUUAUUGCAAUGUAGUAAGAAAGCUGGAAAAGAAGUUUGAGGGGUUGGAGCUUCACAAUAUACCCCGACUGAAAAAUCAAGCUGCAGAUGAAUUGGGAAAGAUAGGAUCCAAGAGAGAGACCAUCCCUAGCAAUGUGUUUUUGGAACAUAUCCACUCGCCUUCAGUUCAGGAGGAUCCCUUCACUGAAGAGCCCCCAUAGCCUAAGAGUGCCACAGAUCCGACUGAAGUAGAAGUCCCAGCCGUGGUCGACUUGAUCAUGGAGGUUUUGGUCAUCACUCCCGAUUGGACAGUACCAUACAUUGCAUACAUUCUUAGGAAAGAACUUCUAGAGGAUGAAGAAGAGGCUCGACAGAUCGUCCGACGAUCCAAAGCCUUUACGGUUAUAAGAGGAUAGUUAUUCAGAGAAAGUGUAAUUGGAGUCAGCCAGAAAUGCAUCACACCAGAAGAAGGCCGAAUGAUCCUCAAUGAUAUUCACUCGGGGACCUGUGGUCACCAUGUGUCCUCUCGGACCAUCGUGGCCAAAGCAUACCGAGCCGGAUUUUACUGGCCUCAUGCCAACGAGAUGGCGAAAGAAAUAGUAGACAAAUGUGAAGGUUGUCAGUUUUACUCCAACAUGUCCCACAAGCCUGCAUCAGCUCUGAAGACUAUUCCACUCGUCUGGCCUUUCGAUGUCUGGGGUUUGGACAUGGUUGGACCUCUGAGGACCGGCAAGAGUGGGUUUACCCAUGUGCUGGUAGCAGUCGACAAAUUUACCAAAUGGAUCGAAGCCAAACCCAUUAAAAACCUUGAAGCGAGUACGACUGUGAGUUUCAUCAGAGAAUUAAUAUUCAGAUAUGGUGUUCCACACAGCAUCAUCAUGGAUAACGGGUUGAACUUCGAUUCUGAUGAGUUCAAAGCCUUUUGUGCCUCCCAAGGCACGAGGGUCGAUUACGCUUCAGUCGCCCAUCCUCAGUCGAAUGGGCAGGCUGAAAGAGCAAACGGAUUGAUUCUCAAAGGACUGAAACCCCGAUUGAUGCGUGACCUCAAGCAUGCAGCAGGUGCUUGGGUUGAUGAACUUCCGUCAGUACUUUGGGGAUUAAGGACAACUCCUAAUCGGUCGAUUGGAAGAACUCCAUUCUUCUUAGUCCAUGGAGCUAAAGCCGUACUCCCGAGUGAUCUGCUCCACAAUGCGCCCCGAGUCGAGCUCUUCUCGGAAGCAGAAGCAGAACAGGCUUGGCAAGAUGCAGUCAAUCUCCUGGAAGAGGAAAGGGAGAUGGCCUUGAUCCGAUCGGCCAUUUACCAACAAGACUUGCAUCGAUUCCAUGCCAGCAACGUAAGGGGUCGGGCAUUUCAGGAAGGGGACUUGGUUCUUCGAGUGGACGAGCAGAAACCACACAAGCUUGCUCCUGCUUGGGAGGGCCCCUUGGUCAUCACCAAAGUGCUCCACAAUGGAGCAUAUCAUCUUUUCAACAUCGAGCACAAUAAAGAUGAGCCACGUGCCUGGAACGUGGAUCUGCUUCGCCCUUUUUACUCUUAAGCAUUCAGACUGUUGAGAUGUAAUAAGAAAUACCUUUUAGUUUGAUUAUCAAAGACAUGAUUUUACAGUCUUCCGAAUGGUUGUUGUUCAUUUUUUACAUGUUCUAAAAUUCCCCCAGUGGGUGCCUUAGCUGCGAAUCAGUUUCGCCUAAGUUGAAAAGAAAAAUCGUAUCGAGUGGUGAGCCAGCCUCUCACUCGGGGGCUUAGCUGCGAAUCCGUUUCGCCUAAGUAUUAAAAAAUCCUACCGAGUGGUGAGCCAGCCUCACACUAGGAGGCUUAGCUGCAGUCUAGUACUCGCCUAAGUGUUAAAAAAUCCUACCGAGUGGCGAGCAAGCCUGUCACUUGGAGGCUUAGUUGUAGUCUAGUACUCGCCUAAGUGUUAAAAAUCAUGCCGAGUGGUGAGCCAGCCUCUCACUCGGAGGCUUAGCUGCAGUCUAGUACUCGCCUAAGUGUUAAAAAAUCCUACCGAGUGGCGAGCAAGCCUCUCACUCAGAGGCUUAGCUGCAGUCCAAUACUUNNNNNNNNNNNNNNNNNNNNNNNNNNNNNNNNNNNNNNNNNNNNNNNNNNNNNNNNNNNNNNNNNNNNNNNNNNNNNNNNNNNNNNNNNNNNNNNNNNNNNNNNNNNNNNNNNNNNNNNNNNNNNNNNNNNNNNNNNNNNNNNNNNNNNNNNNNNNNNNNNNNNNNNNNNNNNNNNNNNNNNNNNNNNNNNNNNNNNNNNNNNNNNNNNNNNNNNNNNNNNNNNNNNNNNNNNNNNNNNNNNNNNNNNNNNNNNNNNNNNNNNNNNNNNNNNNNNNNNNNNNNNNNNNNNNNNNNNNNNNNNNNNNNNNNNNNNNNNNNNNNNNNNNNNNNNNNNNNNNNNNNNNNNNNNNNNNNNNNNNNNNNNNNNNNNNNNNNNNNNNNNNNNNNNNNNNNNNNNNNNNNNNNNNNNNNNNNNNNNNNNNNNNNNNNNNNNNNNNNNNNNNNNNNNNNNNNNNNNNNNNNNNNNNNNNNNNNNNNNNNNNNNNNNNNNNNNNNNNNNNNNNNNNNNNNNNNNNNNNNNNNNNNNNNNNNNNNNNNNNNNNNNNNNNNNNNNNNNNNNNNNNNNNNNNNNNNNNNNNNNNNNNNNNNNNNNNNNNNNNNNNNNNNNNNNNNNNNNNNNNNNNNNNNAAGUAUAAAAAAUCCUACCGAGUGGUGAGCAAUCCUCUCACUCGGAGGCUUAGCUGCAGUCCAAUACUCGCCUAAGUAUAAAACAUCCUACCGAGUGGCGAGCAAUCCUCUCACUCGGGGGCUUAGCUGCAGUCCACUACUCGCCUAAGUAUAAAAAAUCCUACCGAGUGGCGAGCGAUCCUCUCACUCGGCGGGCUUAGUUGCAGUCCAGUACUCGCCUAAGUUUAAAAGAUCCUACAGAACGGUAUGGGUCGACCACGGCCUCUCCCCCCGGGGUUGCACCGUCAAGAAGAAGGACGAGAUUGUAUGCACCGCUGAGGUGAACUGACUCCAGGGCGAGCUGUCUUCAGAGAUAUCAAGACCAUCGCUGAAUGCCUCGCUGAUGAGCUGAUCAAUGCUACCAAACGCUCAUCCAACAGUUAGAUGCUUUCAGGGUCAUCAAGACCAUUGUUGAGUGCCUCGCUGGUGAGCUGAUCAAUACCGCUCAAGGCUCGUCCGAUGGGUCGACUACGACCUCUUCCUCGGCAGCCGCAUCAAGAGUACAAACACUAAUCCGAGUGAAGAACAAAUCCUGCUCGAAGACAAACACAACAUAUUCGAAGAUAAGCCAAGUUUAGAUAAAUCCAAAGGUUUCUAACCGCGAAUUAAAAGUACUCGGGCGUCAGGCCCGAAGGAGUUUCAACGAUUACAAAAUCACUCGGCAUUCCGAGGCAAAUAAGGGUGAAGCAUAAUGUUUUUUGGUCACUCGGCGGGAGAAGGGCUGGCUGGAUCGCAGAAGCUGUCGAGGUCGAUGCUAUCCGCAAUGCUUGUGGCAGCCUCAAGGAAGGUGUCCAUGAAGGACUAGAAGGUGUGCUUCUUAGUAUUCGCAACCUUGAGAGCCGCCAACUUGUCUUCCCUGGCAUCCUUGCAGUGCACUCGAACCAGCGACAGGGCGACGUCAGUGCCACAGUGAGCAGAUGACUUCUUCCACUCCUGCACUCGACCAGGAAUCUGAUUGAGUCGAGUCAUCAGCGACUCGAGAUCUUGAGAAAGUUCCGCCUGAGGCCAGAGUUCAGCGUCCACCCGGGUCAUUGCAGCCUUCAGUCGAACCAGAUAGGCAACGGCGCCGUCCAAGCGUGAUUCCAACCGCAGCAAGUCCAUCACAAUGUCGUCCUUCACAUGACAAUUGAUGGGGUCGAUACCUGUCUUGACCCGCCCAGUUUCAGCUUCAAAAUCCUGGCAAAGUUCUGUCCCAUCACAAAAAAUAGUGAGUCGACAAUAUUACAACAUACUUCAAUCGACGACAAUUAACCAGUCGAGCGGGUGUACCUUCAAGCUUCAGAACUGGUUUCACGGCGAGUUGUCCCAGAUAGGAAUCUAACUUGCCCGUCUUGGCUCUGAGGUCUCCAACUUCAGUGGCCAGGUUCUCCUUGUCCUUCUUCAGUUGCUCGACUUCCCGAUUGGCUUCAGAGAUGGCGGUCUUCAACUUCGUGUUUUCCUCUUCCAACUUACCGACUGAAGCCAGCUUCUUGUCCGCAAGCGUUGUCUUCUCACGUGCUUCCUUCUGAGCAGCAGCAAGAUCCUGGUCCUUCUUCUCCAAAGCUUCCUUCAUUCUCUCUAAAGAAACAACACUCUUCAGACGAGCCUGAAGUUGACGGUUUUCACUAUGCACAUCUGCUUGUGUGAAGUCACUCGGUUCAAAGAGGCUGAAACAAAAAGCAGUGAAAAUGCGAGCUACUAAGUGGGCAAGAGUCGAUUGGUUAGCUCCCAUGAUGGCCGUCUCUUCUUGAGCAGUCUUGAGGUUCUUCUUUGCGAGUUCAAGAUCAAGUUCAACGCUAAUAUGCUUGUUCUUUAACUCGGAAAGUCAAGCUCCAAGAUCACAAGACCUCUGCAGUUAGCGAGAGAGAUAUGGCAGUCGACAGAAAUAAGAGACAAUGACAGGGAAAAGUUACUCUAAGACUAUUGCCGAAUCAAAUAUUCAACAAUAGUCUCGGGGACUACACCCAGUGGGUGCACUUAGCAUGCCCCCACUAGUUCAGAUCAACACUCAGCAGGGUCUGCCGAGCGUGAGUCAAAAAAAAGAAGACAGAAGAUUCUAAGACCUCAAUCGACUGCUAGCAGUCGACCGUGGUCUCGGGGACUACACCCAGUGGGUGCACUUAGUGUGCCCCCACUGGUUCAGAUCAACACUCAGCAGGGCCUGCCCAGCGUGAGUCAAAAAAAAGAAGACAUAAGAUUCUAAGACCUCAGUCGACUGCCAGCAGUCGACCGUGGUCUUGGGGACUACACCCAGUGGGUGCACUCGGUGUGCCCCCACUGGUCCGGACAGAUUACUCAGACUCAGCACGAGUCGAGUGAAGUGGAGGAUUUCCUAAACUCUAAACACAGGCACACCCAAGUGGGUGAUGAGAUAUAAAACAACAUUCAAAAAGUCCAGUUGGAGUUUGCUGACCUGAACAUUGGUCUGCAGGGCAGUGCUGGCGUUAUAAGCCACCUGACUAGCCUCGUGCAUCACCUUCACCUGCUCCAUGACAUGGUUCACUUGGCGAAGAGCCUCCCUGGCAGCACUUGGCGAAUCGUCUGGAGUCUGAUAUGCAGCGAAGAGUGAUGGCUUCAAGGGAGCCGAAGCAGCUACUGGGUCAGACGAGUGGAGUUGCACUAGAGCGGCAGUAACCGGAGCAGUCGACCCCGACUGACGAUCAAUCGUCAGCGGGCUGGCAAAUAUGAUGUUGGUUCGAACCGGAUCUCCGGAGCGCUUGACCACCGCCUCAAGUGCCGGUGUCGACUGAGGGACUUGAACUUCAGGUUUUCUCCCGAUCAAGCCCCCACCUCUCCUCCUCCUCUCCUGUAGAGGCACUUCCUCUU
rnacentral:lncRNA from 1 species